AAGAAUCCCACCAUUGUGUUGGUGUUUUAGUUUUAAGUGUGCGAGUGUAGCAAGCUGACCAGCAAAUAGUACAUUUUUUUCUUUGAAAUCUUGAAGUCAGAGAUCUAUCUUAGCACUUUUUCCAGGUCUACCACCAUUCUAUCCAAAGAUACAUACAUGCUCUCUGGAACUUCAUUAUCAACAGUGAAUCAGGGGCAUAACGCAAGAUGGGGUUAAAGUAAUGGCAUGUAACAUGCAAUGACAUAUGGCGCUGUUUAUCCCAUCUUUCACCAAUGAGACUGUAACUAAGAAGGGGAAAAAAUAAAUUAGAUUCCAAACAAGGUGUAUAAAUUAGCAACCAAAAAAAAAAAAAAAAAAUGUAAAAUUACCGCCUAUCUACCCCAUCGAAGUCUGAUCAAAUCUUCUCUUUUGAUCAGUCCAUCUCUUCAUAAAUGAACGCUGUGACUGGUUCUCUUCUGAAUACACCAUGCAAUCCACAACAUUUUUUACAAUUAUAAUGCAUGAUGUAUCUGCUUAAUUUGAUUUUGAUACAUAAAAUUUAGGGUUAAAGGUGCUUUACCCCCUGUAAUAUAGGUCAUUUCCGGUUUUCCCCCUGUAAAAUAUAUUUUUUUGAUUUACCCCCCUGUAAUUUUUUUUCGAAUACCCUCCUAUAUUACAGGAGGGUAAAGCACCAUUAACCCUAAAAUUUAUUUUAGCCAUUUAGGACAAUGAUUUAGUCCCAUUGAUUUUGAGUUUACAGCUAUUAAAUUUCUUUGAUUUUGAAAAUUGUUACACUAAAGUUUAUUUUAGAUCAAUCAGGACAGUGAUUUAAUCCUAUUGACUUUAUGACUUGGCAGCUAUUAAAUUAGCUAUUAAAUUUCUUUGCUCAUUUUCUUCCAAACAUACGAUCCUUAAUGGCUCUUUGGAUUCCUAUGUUAUCUUGUUUCUUAUGUUAAUUUUUGCUGAUCUUAAUCCUAAUUGAAGUUUUUGUCCUACUUAAUUUUUAAAGACAAAAAUGAUCAUUGCUGUUCAUCAAUUUGUUGCUGGAUUGACAUGCAUUCUGAAGUUCAUAUACUGGAAUUAUGUACGCACAUUUUUUAAAAGCACAUGCCAUUUAAUAGUAAUCUUUUGAUAAUUUUUCAAAAUAUAUUUAGACAUUAAUGAGGCCGUGGCAUAUAUAUAUAUGCUUAUUUGAAACUUUACUACUGAUACAUGUAUUAUCAUGUUUGGUUUUUGUGAAGUUUCUCAUAAGAAUUCUGCUUCAGAUUGGUCACUUUCGACCUCUGAUUCAAUGAAGUACUCAAUUUCUGUUGGAUUUCCUUUAUGUAUUAGUGUAUGACUGAAAAGUACUUGUAGCAAAUACAUUCAUUAACAAAAGUUCUGAGGGAUUGAAUUUGUUUUUAAUACUGAAUAUAGGCUUGAUUUGCAGCAUUUGUUUAUAUUUGGGAAGAUGUCAUAAUCAAUAUUCAAAUUAUUUGUCUUAUUACAGGCAUCAACAAACAAUAGGUUAGCAGAAGCUCGCGAUGCGAGAGCUUUUAAGCUUAUUGUCAGAGAUCUUGAAGCUAAGCUAGGGCCUUUGGAAGUCAAUCUCAUAGAGAAAACUAGUACAGAAACAGUUGCCAAGAAUGAGGACAGUGAAGACACAGGCACGGAAACAAAGGGCAGCACAGAAACUUUAGCUUCAUCAGAUAAAGCUGAAAUGAGUGCUGUAUUGAACAAGAAUGAAGAUAGUGAAGACACAGGCACGGAAACAAAGGGCCGCACAGAAACUUUAGUUUCAUCAGAUAAAGCUGAAACGAGUGCUACAUUGAACAAGAAUGUUGCAUAGAAUUCUGUGAAUAAUGAAGAAGUUGGUGAGCUUUAAAGUAUAGCCACCAAACAAACAUAUUUCUGCUUACAUUCUUUUGUUUGUUUAUUCAUGAACACCAUUAAAAGUUUUCAAGACUAACUUCUCAGUUUGAACUUCCAAGUGAGGUUGUCAAAUAUCUCUGUAACUAUUUACAAUAUCAAAAAAGGUCUGAGAGAAGUUGGUACCACUUGAGCCUUAGCUCAGUUUGGAUUAGUUUCUACUUUCUAGAUAUCUAGGAAGUUAUCCAAUCCCAAUUCAGGAUAGUCAUCUUCAUCCUCAACCUCAGUUUAUUCUUCAUCAAUGGCAGCAUCAUUAAUAGAACAAGGAGAAGCAUCCAAACCGUCACCAACAGGCAUCUUCAUCUUCUCCAACGUCAAGUACUAUAGCAAGAUGUCUUCAUGUAUAUAUAUAUAUGUUCAUUAUCCUUUAUAUUCCCAACCCAUUCAUCUCUAAAUUGUUUGUGAUUUUCUACACUCUUUCUUCAUCAUCCUAAAUAAUUUGUAUGUGAGUUUCUAAAUUCAACACCUAAUUAAAAAUCAUUUGAAAGUUUUGGAAUUUAAUUCAAAAAAUUUAGUUUAAAGGCAUUUUUACAAACUAAAAACUUUACGAAUUCAAUUAGAACAAAAUUUAGUUCAAUGAGCUACUAAAAAUCUCUAAAUAGUCCAAAGAUCUAAAAAAAUUAAAUGAAAGUUUUUUGCCUUAAUAGCAGUUUUCGCUCCCUAACUUUCACGAAGUUGUGAUUUUGGCCCCCUAAGAAAAAAACUACAAAACCGCCCCUUAAGUUUUGCAACUGUAGCAGUUUUGGCCCCCCAAGAUCAAUUUUUGGUAAAAAUGGUGUCACGUCAGCGUAGACCGAGUCAAAAUUGGUCUUGGGAGCCAAAACUGCCACAUAUGCGAAAGUUAUGGACGGUUUUGUAGUUUUUUUUAGGGGUCAAAAUCGUAAUUUUGAAAAAGUUAGGGGACUAAAACUGCUAUUAAGUCAAGUUUUUAACCAUAAACAGAUGAACCAUAAAGUCGAUGUUGUGAUAUAGUGAGCCUCAACAUCUCAUCAUAACUAUACAAUGGAAUCACUACAGCCCACGAAGUAACUUAUGCCUUGUAAACCUAUAAAGUCACUAUUCCGUUUGCAAAGUUCAUUUUAUUCCCAACGUGCACUAGAAGUCACUGAAUUGUGAUCAUUAGAUGCAUUCAACGUGGAUCCGCCAAUCACAUUAGAUCAUUUACACCUAUUCAAUGAUGUUAAAAAUUCAACUCUCUUGUCUUUAAAUAGGGAGUUCAUCAUCAUUAUAUCUUUUACUCAUCUCUCGCUAAAACAUUAAUUUAAGCAUUAGAGUGUUUGGAGAUACACAAUCCUCCUCAGCUCGUACUAUCAUCCACUGCUGUAAUCUGCACCAUCCUUAUCUCACUCCGACCUCUUAUGAGCUUCUUUUGCGAAAUACAGCAUGUGUGGUAGUGGUAUUCAGACAGACCCAAACUAAUCAAAAUCAAAUUUAAAAUCAAUACAAAAAACUCGAAAACACAAAUAAAUAGACAAAGAUAAGCAUAAAACAUGUAUAUCAUAGAACUCAAAGUUCAACAGAAUUUGACAAACAUGAUUAAUAACUACAGAAAAACAAAAAGGAAACAGUUGAACAAUCAUUAUGAACGAAGCUUCCUCAAUAAGAUUUCCUUUCAAGAUAUGAUUUGCAAUCUGCAGUUGGAUUCACCUAUUGUGGACUCUCUGAGUAUCCCUUCUCAUCUGCAUUCUGUCCUAAACAUGAAGGUAGCCGAUUUCAUCUUGGACGGGAACCGGAACAUUCCUCGUUAUCUAAUUCAAAAGAAGGAAAGUCUAGCUAGGCAGAUUCUCACUGUGACUCUCCCUACAGAAGACACGUCUGAAAAGUUGAAUUGGAGGGGUUCUAGUGAUGGAGAGCUGACUUGUCAAAUAACUUACAGCGCUCUGCGUGUUUCUGGACCAGCUUUACGGUGGUGCAAGCUAGCUUGGAACUCUUUUGUCCCUCCCACUAGGUCCUUUGUUUUCUGGAGGUUAGCGCAUAACAGGUUACCCACGGAUGAAAACCUUCGUAAACGCGGUUGUAAUAUUGUCUCUGUGUGCUGGUUUUGUCGUCACCAUGAAGAAAUCUCAAAUCAUAUAUUUUUCAGCUGUCUGGAAACACAAAAAAUAUGGAAGUGGCUGUGUGCAGGGACUCAUCAGACCCUUGACUGUUCAGACUGGCUUCCGUUAAUCUCUAGCUGUGUUGGUAAUUGGAGCAAAGCGGUGCAGCAAGUCUUAAUAGCAGCAGUUCUGCACACAGUUUGGAAGAUUUGAAUAGAUCGUAAUGAGCGUUAUUUCAAUAAUUGUAAGAAUCCGGUGGACUUGGGUUUUUGUAAUAUCAUUGUUGUCAAAGCGGAAACGUGGUGCGGCCACCCAAAAAUUGACGUGGCACGGUAUGCGGGCGCUAUUACAUGACGCGGACACUAAAACUAAAAAUUAUACUAUCUCUGUCCCUAAAUAUAGGAGUCUUUUGUCAAAAUUACAGAGAUUAAGAAAGUUGGUUGUAAUAUUAAAUUUGUAUAUAAUUACCAUUGUUUUUACAAUUUUAUCCUUAAGAGAGAGAAUUAAUUUAUGUUUUCAACAUAAUAUUUAUUGUUGAUUGAAGAAAAAGAUGCAAAAUAAAUAAGGGUAUGUUAGUAAAGAAAUAAUUAAUGCACUUGGAAAUACCUAGGGAUCUUAUAAAAAGGGACAAUUUUUUUUCUCAAAAGAAUUUUAUAAUUAAGGACGGAGGUAGUAUUAUUAAUAAAAGACUACUAAAAUAUGGAAAAAAAAUGUAUUUAGUAUUAGUAUAAAUGGAAAAUUAAAGAUUAUUAUUUGUUUUUAGUAUUAAAUACUAUUAUACUUAAACAUUAUACUUAAAUACCAUAAUGCUAAAAAAAAAAUACUAAAAUACCUUAAACAAUGUACUUAAGAAACAAAUUAAUUGUAUAUACUUAUUAAUUUAAUAACUAUAUAUCAUACUAUAUUUUUUUGAUAAAGACAAGUAAUAUAUUAUGCCAUAAUUUAAAAACAAUAUACUAUACUAUGUAUUAUUUACUAUUCCUUUAAAAAAAAGUAUUAUUACUAUUAAUUUAGUAAAACAAAUUUUUUUUUUUUUUUGAAGGAAACAAAUUAUUAUUAUAUGAGUGUGACUUUUUUAAAAUCACACUAGUAAUUAAAUUAAUAUUUAAUAGGGAGUGGUGCCUUCUCAAAAGACAAACAGGGAGUAGAGUAGUGGCUAGUGGGUUACAGUUGUCCUCUGUCCAACCACUCACAUGCUAAAACGUGUGUUUUUUCAAUAGGGAGUCAAAAAUAAAAUAAAAGAGACAAAGAAAAGGUGGGUUACAACUGUUCUCUUCAACCAUUCAUGUGCUAAAACGUGUCUUUUUUCAAAAUAAUAAACAAAAAACUGCAUCUUCUUCCCCUUCUCUCUCUCUCUCACUCUCACUCUCUCUCUCUCUCUCUCUCUCUCUCUCUCUCUCUCUCCUCCAACUCGCCGCAAAACAACCUUGAAAACACCAAAAUGGAAACAACCUUCAAACACCAAAAUUUGGAGAAAGCGGCCGCUUUGACCCGCUCCGCCUCACAGAAAUGCGGCCGCGAAACCCGGUUUCGUUCCGCUUUUGCCUAACGCGUGACUCAGUCGCGUUCUGACGCGCUAGGCUGUUUUCAGCCGCGAUCGCGCCACAUUAGGCCGCUAUUGACAACAGAGGUAAUAUCUGGAUCGAAAGUGACUCUUUACAGCUAGUUAGUGCCUUCAACAAAGAUGAUAAUGUUCCGUGGCAAAUUAGAAACUGGUGGAAUAAUUGUAAGAAUAUGGCGAAGGGCUUGAAGCCUUGAACACUAUAUGUACGCACAUUCCUAGGGAGGGGAAUCAAGUAGCGGAUGCUUUAGCUAAAAAUGGACAUGGCUUGCGAAGUUAUACUACUCAAUGGUGGAAUGAUCCCCCUUUAUUUUUAGAAGUUUUGCUUUUUAGAGAUAGUACUAGAUUGCCUUUUUCUAGGCCUUCCUCUUUGUAAUCCUUUGGUAUUCGGUUCAGACAUCUCCUGGCUUUUUUAUAUCAUUUUAAGUGCUUUGAUAAAAAAAAAAAAUCUGCGGGAGCUUCAUCAUGACAUACAAUGAACAUGCCGGAAUAAAUAGGCAUGCUUUUAAUUAUGUAUAGCGGUAAUCUACAUCAUACUUGAACCCAAUUUUGUUGUUAAAUUGUGAAGUCAACCCCAAGUUUAUGAGGUUAAGAGCCUAUUUGGAUGAAUAACUUAAUUAAGCACUUAAAGCAUAAGCCCUUAUCAUAUAAGUUAUUAUGUAUAAGCUAUUUCUAUAACAAAAGAUAAAAUAAAUUCAAACUGUUCUCAUAUAUGCUAUUUUUAUAAACUAUCUUGGAGAGCUUGUGGAAAUAAGUUAAAAAUAGCUUACGAACAUGCCAUAAAUUGUUUCAUACCACCCCACACACCAGUUUUGUUUUCUUACAACUUAUAAACAAGCAAACAACUCUAAGGAGAUUAUUUAAAGAUUAAGAGACAAUAAAGUGAAUGAAAUAUCUGUUAAUCCAGAAAGAAUGAAAACAAAAUACAAGAAAUUAAGGAAAAAGCUGAUUUGAACCAUACAUUAUGAAAUUUGUAUGCUUAGCUUCAUGUAUCAGCGAACGUACAACUAACUUGGCAUAACAUCUAAAUCCCAUUUUCAAUCAUAUAAUGUAAUGUGUGGUUGCAUAGGUAAGAACCAAUAACUCUAACUAACAAACUAAUGAAGAUAAAUAACACAUCAAUUUCUGAACGUGAAAAUUUCAUUAACCAUUACUUAACCAUGAUCCAUGGAGUCACCCAGAAAUCAAAGCAUGAAUGAAACAAAAUAAAUAACAAAAACAAAAAUUAACAUAAAAGUUGGGAUUGAAUCUCGGACUCAUACUCAAAUGACAUAGUAGAGCAUCUACAUCCAAGUCCAAGUAUUAGAAUCAAGGAGAUAUCAAACUUUCAACAUAGACAGUGGAUUCUACAGAACUCCAGUCUUGCAUCUUGAAUUUCUUUAUAGUAUCAUUUUUGGAAUUGUAAGCAGCCAUCCCCCGUUUACCAUUCUGCAUAAAGGCGAGCAGCAUAUGGCCAUCGUCCUCAAAAACAUAUAAUAUCUUGGUAAUACGGAAACCACCAAAGUAAGGAACAUGAAUAAAUUUAACCCAAGACUCUUUAUUUCCAUAUUCCUUCAUAAGCCAAACAUCAAUAAAAGAGUAAGAAUUAGCAAAUACGCACAGGCAAUCCCUCAUCAUACCCAAGGUCAACUUAUCUAUAAUUCCAUAGUUAGGUUGUUGAAUCUCUUGGUAACACUCUUUUUCUAAAUCAAGUGAAACAAUGACACUCGAGAAAUUACCUCGAGACACAACAUUAGAAUAAGCGAACCAAUUAACUGUGCCGUUGACGAUUAUUCCCGGUCGAUAAUGAGGGAACAAAGCGGGGAAAUCCUUAAUCCUUCUCCAUGAAUGUGUGCCCAAAAUGUGAACUUUCACUUGAGUUUUGCAAUCAUAUUUUGUGUCAAUUCCAUCAUAUUUAAAAUCAUAGCAAAAAACAGAAACAACCUUGUAAUUAUGAAUGAAAGGAUCAUAGCCAAAAGCAUAUCUAGUGAAACCAAAUUUUUUGGGAGGUAGUUCUAAAGUGGGUAAUUUCUUUAAUUUUCUAAUGGAAGGGUUCCAAGUAACGGCAAGAUGAGUAUCAAUUGCAAAACAAAUGAGACCGUCGCAAGAAGCAAUGAGUCGAUCCAUACAAUCUGUAUUAAUGGGAGAGUAAUCGAGUUGUGUGGCAGUUUCAGAUGUGAAAAUAGAGUCAAUUGAGUAAGACAUUACAGAUAACUCUUUUCUUGACGAGUGCAAUGAGCUUGUGACGAGGUGUUUGCGUUUGGUUGAUAAGAGAAGGUGUUUCUUGAAGAAUUUCUGAUCCUUCGAGAUUAGAGAAUUCCAUGACUUGCAGACGCAGCGGAAUUGUAGGAGGAACUUGACAGGGAGUCUGCACAGGAUUUCAACCACGAGAUCAAACGGAAUAUGAGUCACCGGUGCAGGGAGAAGCCGCUGCCUCUUGUUUGCGAUCGUUUCCACCAUCAGUGAAUGGGAAGAAUAAGAGGGUGCGUCGUAAUCGUUUGAGAAUGAAGAAUUCCAAAACUCGACUGGAAGUGAAUCACUAUGUGUUAGGGUUUCGGUGGAGGUGGUCGCUCAGUGUUGCUUUGUGAAGUUGGUGGAGAUGAUGGUACGGCGGCGUCAAGUGAAAUACGAUUAUGUGUGUUUGGUGUGUCUAAUAGUUUUUGAGGUAAUUUUUUUAUCUUUAAAUUAAACAAAACAAUCAUAACAUUAUGUUCCUUUUUAAAUAUUUAGAAGAUUUUUUUUUAAAGAAAAUUUAAUAUUUAAUAGAUUUUUAUUUUUCUCUUUCAAAAAUAGAUUUUUAUUUUUAGGCUUGAUUGCAUAUUUGGUCUAUUAAUUUUAUUUUAUAUUUGUGAAAGAAUGUCUAUAUUUUCAGAAACAUGAUAAUAUUUCUAGGGUGGUACUUUUGUUCUUGUUUACAUGAUAAUAUUGGUUUGCUUUUACAUUUUUUAAUGCUUUCUUUCUAUAUAAGUAUUAUUGUCUAGCUAAUGUGCUUGGCGUCAAAUUUCCAAAUAAUUAUGAUAGGCUCAAUCAAUCAUUAAAACCCCGUCUUGAUACUUUUUUUCUUUCGAAAACUCAAUAUCCAACUCAAAGAUCGACUUUGUUCUGAUACUUCCAUGAACACAGCUCAAAUAGACACAAAUUCUGCAUAAAUGCAAAAAAAAUAGAGGACGCCAAUCCCACACUGAUAACAAACUGCUAAAACUCUCCUUGGCUGAACAGGGUCGGCCUUAAGAUUUUUGUUGCCCUGGGCAAAACAAUAAAUUGUGCCCUUUUAAUUUAUUCAAAUAUUUUUCUUCUUGCAUUUUUUUUGUUGCAAAAUAUUCAUUUAUAAUCAAAGUUAUCUAAAAAUAUUUUUAAAUAGAAUUAAUCAAAGCAAAUUAAAAAGGAAUAUAUAUUACUAACUACUAAGUAAAAAUGAUAAUUUUGGUGCCCCUAAAAAAAUGGUUCCCUGGGCUGCCGCCCCUCAAGCCCACCCUCAGGGCCACCCCUGCGGCUGACUGGAGGUUACCAAACAAAAGCAAAUCCACGACACCCAUCUCAGACAGCGGCAAAACACAACAACACAUACUCUGAAAAUGAAUUUUCUACUCUUAUAAAUCAACCAGCACCAUCUAAAUCAAUGUGUGAUUGUAACAAUGUAAAAUUGUAAUGCAUGAUGAAGAACCAUCAACUCAAACUACCAUGCAAAUGAAAAUAACAUAACAAAUUCAAAAAGUGGCAAAUUUCAUUAAUUAAAAAUUAUCCAUGAAGUUCGCAGCAGUCAUAACAAACAUGAAAUACAAUAAAUAUAAAUUAAAAUAAAAGUUGAGAUUGAAUGUCAUGCUCAAAUGACAGGACAUAACUCUUAUCUUUAAAAUCAAGGUGAUAUCAAACUCUCAACGUAGACUUUUGAAUUUACCCAAAGCUCAUUUGGAAUCUGGAGACUAUUUAUGGUAUUAUUUAAAUGGAUAUCGAAAACAAGCCAUUUCAAGUUACCACUCACUCUUUGUCAACAUAUAUUACAUUUAUAACGGCUGAUGUUCCUAUUGCAUCUUAUAUUGCAGGACAUCAUCUUUUGUAGGUAAUGCAGAAAUUGCCCCUCUCUUGGUCACCAUGAUCGCGCCACAUACACGGGCGAAAUAUAAUGCUUUCCGGAGACGUUUCUCAUCCUUGAAAAUACUUGGGUCAGAAGCUAUGUAGUAGAGAAUCCCACUAACAAAUGCAUCACCAACACCAGUUGUGUCAACAGGUUCAACAUUUAAACCUCUAACUUCGCCCUUAAAAUCGUUGGUGUAAUAUCUACAACCCUCCGACCCACUGGUAACAAUUAGAAGCUUGAGAGUAGGGUGAAAAAGCUUUUUUUUUUACAUCAUCAUCAUCACAAGGAUCACCAGCAUCAAUCAAAUGAGUGAUCUCAUCUUUGCUGAUCUUUAUGACAUCGGCUAGAUUCCAUAUGCUCAUUAUACCCUUUCGAGCAGCCUCGGCCGAUGGCCAUAGUUCCAAUCUCAAUUUCGGAUCAUACGAGAGAAUGCAAUCACAGGUUUUAGCAAAACUCAAGGCAGCAAGAUAAGACGCCUUGCAAUGCUCAUCAAUCAAACCGAUGGAACCAUAAUGGAAUAUUUUAGCCUGCAAUCAGUAUUAAAUUAAAAUUAUACAGACUUAAACCAUCGGUCUUUAUGGCCACAUUUUAUAAACAGAGAUGGAAAUUAAAGGCACCUUCUUGAUGAGUUUACGAUCAACCUCUGAAUACAGAAGCAUAUUAGCACUAGGAUUUCUGAAAAGCGAGCACUCGCGCUCCCCAUCAGCUCUAAGUAAAACAUAAUACAAUAUGGUGCUGGCAUUAGAAUCAACCAGCAUGCCAGAUGUAUCAACAUUAUUUUCCUUUAAAACAUCAACCAACGUAUACCCAGAUUCAUCUGGUCCAACCUAAAACGCAGAUGGUAAUGAGUUAAGCUAUCAUUUUCUCAGCCAACAUAGAUUCACAUCCCUAAAAUUCAGAAUACUACUGCAACUAGGUACAAUCUACAAGUAAAUACAUGAUAUCAGUAGGAAAAUCUUUUAAACUGAAUGGAACGGGAUCGAAAUUGAAACCUGCAAUAUGAAGGGACCAUCGAGAGUAGUUCUCGAUGUAGUUGGGAGCAUGAAAUCAUUACGGUUAUGGCUAGGAGGAAGUAUACCACUGCCACAAGAAUUGAGAUUGGAAAACAGAAACUUCUGGAAACAGAUUUCAGCCUUUUCGAGGUCAUUCAAGCCAUUUAUCGAAUCCCCUAGUUUGAUAAGCUGUUGGUAAAUGGGGCAAUCGGAAGUCGACGGAGCCGACUGUGGAGGAGUAUGUAGGGAGUGGUCAUCGGAAUCGCCAGAGAUUUCGACUGUUUUCGAGGGAAGUGACUGCCUUUCCCAUGGUUUUGUUUUGCUUUUUUUUUUUCUUUUCUUCUUUUCAGUUGUACACUGUGUGUGUGCAUAUUUCUUCCAAUCUUGACGGUUUUGCAUCUUUUCCCUAUCAUCGGUUCUUUCUUUCCAGUUGUACACUGUCUAUAAUUUUUCACUAACACCUUAAAAUACUCAAGCACCUAAUUUUUUAAGGUCUAAAUUGAAAGCACGACCAAUAUAUUCAAAACAAUAUAUUUAAGUACAUCGAUUAUUGUCCGUGCUUGUCGCACGGGUAGACGUCUAGUUAUUAAUAUUAUUAUUGUUGUUGUUGUUUGUUGUUGUUAUUGUUGAUGCAAUUGUGACAUAAUGAUAAUAAUAAUUUUGCAAAAAAAAUAAUAAUAAUAAUAACAUUUGUCAAACAAAAAAAAAAACAGAAAGCCACCCUGUGACUGUGAGGCUCCCAAAAAAACAGAAGCCAAUUAGCUCUUUUGUUUGAUCAUCUUCCUCUUUUCUCCUCCCAUAUUCUUCGGUCUCUCUUACAUUUCUCUCUGGUUUCUUUCUCUCUCCACCCCAUUUCUUUCUUUCUUUCUUUGUUGUUGUUCUCUCUCUCUCUCUGCCUGGCAUUACAUCCAUCUCCUUCUGCCUUUCUUCUCCCUUGCAUGUCUCUUUUUAAUUAACAAGGUAUGUAUAAUUAUGAUUAUGAAUGCUAAUUCCUUCAUAAAAACUAAUGAUUACCAUCACAUUAUUAUUAUUAACAUCGUCAUUGUUGUUUUUCUUAGUUAUUAUUGCCAUUGUGUAUUAUUGUUUUUAAAAACUCAAAAAAAUUGGAUUGUUUUUUUGUUUUUUUUCCUUGAACUCUCCAAUUUCUAGAAGAAAGGAACUCCGGUAAUCCGAAAGUAAUGUUUCUCUGUUCCUAUUAUAAUAAUAUCUUCUAAUUUUCAUUGUUAUUUUUUACUCAAGAAUGUGCAUUGUUGGUAACUUGUUUUCUGGGUUAAUUUGAUGACAAUCAGACCUUAUUAUUUUUUUAAUUAAUGAUAUAUUGCAACAAUGAGACAAUAUUGUCCCUUAAUCAUUCUUCUCUUUCAACAAUAUGUGGGUUGUUAUUAAUUUAUUUAUUGCAACAAUGAGAUAAUAUUGUCCCUUAAUCAUUCUAUUAAGAUCUAUUCUAUCAACAUUGGGUGACUAACUCAAAACAUGUCAUACUUUUAUUUUUAAUAAACAAAUGUUCGUAAGUUGAUGAUUAUGCUAGUUUUCAGAUUUUAAAUUCUGAACCUCUUGUAUAAAACUCCUUCCGUAUCCUUUACUUAAUUAACUUUGCAAACAGGGAAGAUGAUGCUUGAAGGAUCGGUUAGCAUUAAUGGCCGGGAGUUGGAGACGAUGCUUGCUUUUAAAUCUCCCACAGAAGAUGUAGAAAAUGACUUAUUUGGUAAACCAGUAAGCAGAAAGAGUAGAGAAAAUUACGAUGAUUUGUCAGGAUCAUUUAGUAACUUGUCUGAGAAGGGCUUGUAUUCCCCAGCAUUGCGAGAGCCUCUGCACCAUAGAGACCUAGCUGCACUUAGAUUGCAGAAAGUUUACAAAAGUUUUCGAACAAGAAGACAACUUGCAGAUUGUGCAGUUCUUGCAGAACAAAGAUGGUUAGUUAGUUUCAAUAUUUCAUAUUUAUAAGUCUUGAGCCUUUAAAAUCUCCAUCAAACUAUAACAUAUAGGUGUUCAAAAUCAUGUUUAUGUGACCAGAAUAAUUACAUUCAUAUGUAACAACAGGUGGAGGGCUUUGGAUUUUGCUGAACUAAAGCGCAGUUCUAUAUCAUUUUUUGACAUUGAAAAACCUGAGACUGCCGUUUCACGUUGGUCAAGGGCAAGAAGGAGAGCUGCCAAGGUAAUUUUUCUCAUAUGAUUUGUAUUAUCAAUUAAAAAACUAGUAAAUCUUUUUUGUCUCACCUUUUUUAUCCCUUGAAUAAUAAUAGGUGGGAAAAGGUUUAUCUAAGGAUAGGAAGGCUCGUAAACUUGCUUUGCAGCACUGGCUAGAGGCAGUAAGUCACUCUCAAAGCUAAAAUGAUUCAACACACUUCAAAUUAGGGCCUGUAUGGAUUGAUUUAUUUGAACUUAUGAAAAGAGCUUAUAGCAUGUGCAUAAGUUGUUUUCAGCUUACUUCCAUAAGCUCUCUAAGAUAGCUUUUGAAAACAACUUAUAGCUUAUAUGAAAAUUAUUUUAUUUUAUCUUCUAUUAUAGAAAUGUUUUAUGCAUAAGCACAUAUAUAGUAAACAUUUAUGUUAUAAGUGAUUAAUUAAGUUGUUUAUCUAAAUAUCACCUUAAUCUAUUGAUUUCUCUAAUUGUUUUCAACUUGUACAGAUUGACCCUCGACAUCGCUAUGGCCACAACCUUCAAUUUUAUUAUGUCCAGUGGCUACAUUGUGACAGUAAUCAACCUUUCUUCUAUUGGUAUGAAUCAAGGACAACAAAAAAAUCUGUUUAUUUUUAGGGUAACUUUUAGUCAAGCUAAUGGAAAUUUACGAUCAAUCUGCAAGUGUAGGCUUGAUAUUGGGGAAGGCAGGGAAUUCUGUUCCGAGAGAUGUUCUAGAUUAAAGCUUCAGCAGCAAUGCAUCAAGUAUUUGGGUCCAGUAAGUUUUCUAAUUCUCUUCAAUAUCACUUCUUCUUUCAUCCAUAUGGAUCAAACUCAGGCUAAAGAUAGAUGGUUGACCAAAGUCCGAACACUAAACAAUGAGUAGGGAAAACAAAUUUAAAAAUAAAAGUAAUAUAGAACUAAGAGCCUAUGUUGCACUGACACUUCAGAUUGAAGAUGUGUUCAGUGUCCAACACGUAUUGGUGUUUGACACGACAAACAUGGUUAAACUCAAUUAUAUAAUUUUCUUAAACUAUUAUUGAUGUUGACGUGUCAAUAACAGUGUCAUGUCUGGUGUUUGUGUCAUAGCUCAUAGCUAUUAGAUAACUUAACUAUCAAGUAACUUGUAAAAGUAAUUUUGAAAUUCUUUUUAAGGAGGAAAGAACGGACUUUGAAGUAGUUAUUGAGAAUGGGAGGCUGUUCUACAAAAACGGAGGGAGUCCCGUUGAAAGUAAAGGAGAUGCUAAGUGGAUUUUUGUACUUAGCACAUCCAAGACAUUGUAUGUUGGGCAGAAGAACAAGGGCACAUUUCAACAUUCAAGCUUCCUAGCUGGUGGAGCCACAUUAUCUGCUGGCAGAUUAGUGGCUGAUGAUGGUGUUCUUAAGGUAUGAAUGAAAGAGAAAUAAACUGAAUGAUAGAUCAACACAUUUUAUUACUUUGAUUUCAGUUGUUUCCUUGUUUAACAUACUAACAGUGGACUUUUCUGAUUCCAAAGGCGGUUUGGCCUCACAGUGGACAUUAUCUCCCAACUGAAGAAAAUUUCCAAGAAUUCAUGAAAUUUCUUAGGGAGCAUAAUGUGGACCUUACAAAUGUAAAGGUAAAACAUGACAUUGUUGCAUAUAGUGUGAAAUAUAUCAAUCUAAUGCAUAUUUUCUGUUAAGAGUCUCAUAUUCUAAGAUUUCAUUCAUUAUCUACAUGACAGGAGAAAUUUAAACUGCCAUAUUAACAUAAAUUCACACUCGUUAUUCACUCAUGGUAGUUUACAUGGGAUACAGAUUAAUAGAUCAUAGCUUCUUAACAUGAAUUCCUGUAGAAAUUUAUCUAAUUGUGUUCUGCAUUAUAUCUAGCUAGUCUAGAAAAUAAAACUGUUCUGGAAUUCUAAUUGUGAUUUUCUUAUAUCCAGAAAAACUCAAUUGAAGAUGAUGAAACAAUCAAAAUGAACACGGAACAUCAUGUAAGAAGAAAAUCUUUAGAGGCCAUGCUGCAUCUAAACAUCGAAACCGAAAGUUCGAGCAGCACAUUAGCCGAAGAGUUACCAGAGGAUAGAAAUGAGGAUUCUACUGCUGAUUCAAACCCUGAUCUACCGUCUAGAUUGUCAAAACGACUUGGAUCGAAAAUAUCAAGACUCGAAAUACCAGAAAGAGGCAGCAUUUUCGGUCAAGUAUUAGCAGUACAUCGUCCAAUUAGCAAAUUCUAUUGUCCAGAAACAGACUCGGAUUCAGAAUCAGAAGGUGGUUAUGAGACAGCAGAAGAAUCAUUUAUUGAAGAAGAAGAUUUUAUGUUUUCAAAAUCAAAUUUGUUUGUUGAAGAUCAAGACAAUGAAGAAGAAAAGUCUAUUCCAAAAGAAAUGAUAAUGAAGAGAAUAGAUUCACAUAAAGGAAUGAAAUCAUAUCAAUUGGCAUAUCAUUUAUCUACCAAAUGGACAACAGGUGCUGGUCCUAGGAUUGGUUGCAUGAGAGACUAUCCAGCAGAGCUUCAGUUUUUCAUCCUUGAGCAACAAAAUUUGUCUCCGAGGUCAAGAACAACAGCUCCAUCGCCUCGGAUACCGCCGUUGUCUCGAUUCAAUCCACGUGUUGCUUCUUCUCCAAUUCCUUCGGCAGAUGAAGCACCAACUAUUUAAGGGAUGUUAGUUCUGUUGGGGGUCAUUGGAGAUUUGGAGUAUAUAAAACCGAAUAGGAUUUUCUUUUUUUGAAGUCACUCUUUAAACCCAUAUAUAGUUCUUGUAGGUCUUGUGGUUGUGAGUGAGGGGAACAAAAGAACUUUGCAUGCAUAUUGUUCUAGUUCCAAAUGCAGAGAGAGAGUUUGAUUGAGUUUGCAAUCUAGAUAUGAAACACUAGCAUGCAACAUGCAAAUCAUUAAUGACAUGUGUUAUAGUUAUGAAGCAAGUUUAUUUGAGAAUUGUUGACCCUAUUUGUCCCAUCCCUCAAAAUAUGUACUAUAUUUUAUCUUAUCUGAUAUAUAUGAGGGUAAACUAGACAAGACAAGAUAAUUAGUGUUUUGUGGAAAUAGCUCAUUUCGCUAGACACAACCAGCAUCAAUUGUGUCUAUAGGAUGGGGCUGGUUCCACACGAGACGAACCACAGUUCGACUGCUAGAAGAUCUAACGAUAUUAGAGUAUGGCAAUUCCUUGAAAAUCAGAUUAAUACCAAUACCAAAAAUGUUUACUGAACUUCUUCAAACUCUAUAAUCUACGAAAAAACGGAAGUAAUAAGGUGACUUGAUCGUUUGGAGGAAUGAAACACAACGAUUGAAGUGAGAUUUGCAAAAGAUGCAAUACAUAUAAGGUCUGGAACAAUCGAAUCUGUCUUGAUAAAUCGUGAACCUAGUUUCUAUUCAAUUCAAGUAAUUCAAAUCAUGAAAACUUUGCUAUUAUUAGGUGAGUUGAGUUUUUCAUUACACACCUCUCACCUUAUAGAUGAGAGAUGGUUGAAAUUUCACAAAAUAGUGUCAAUUAUGGUCAUGAGAAUAUUCUUACAAGCUCGCUUACUACCCACUCGCCGGCUAAGCAAAGGAAAACCCACAAAACAAAGAAUAAGGGAACUAUGUAAAACCAUUUUGUGACAACUAUGAAUACGAGACCCUCACAAACCAAUUAUGUAAGAUAAUGAAGAUAUUGAAAGACUCAUAAAUGAGUAGUGCACAGCUUUCUGUUAGGGACAACACCUCAUUGUGCAAAUAGAUUGUAGUUCUUUAUAAAAAUGCAAGAUUGUUAAUAAAUUUUCAAUCGAAUGAAUAUACUACAAUUGAGCUUACCUCAUUCAUUGCUGAAAUUAACCAUCAAAACUAAAUAUUAAAGAUGCAAAGUUACCACCAAUGCUAAUAGAAUAUUAAGUAUUGAUAUGGUGUUGUAAUAGAACAUACAUUAAUCAAGUAGUUGUACAUAAGUCGUUGAAGAAAAACCUGCAAAACAGAUUUUUCAAAGCCAAAAAAAUGAAGAAAGGAAAAAAUGUAAUUCUAUGAAGUUUGUAAUAGACUCUUUGGAAAAUGAGGAAUCUAAGCUUCAAAUUUAUGGGAAGAUCUUUUUUAUUUCAUCUUGUAAAAUACAUGGAGGACUAUUUGACAGUGUGGCUGUGGCUGUGGCUGAACAAGUUAAAAGAUUGCCAACAUGAAAUAUAAGCCAGUUGGUAAACGCCCCCAGUUUCUUUUUCCAAAUCGCGAGUUCGAAUCUAAGAAUUUCCUUUUUCAUUUUUCUUGACAAAAAAAAAAAAACCUUCAAGAUUGAAGAUUAUUAUAAUUUCUCAAACUAUUACUGGUGUCAAUGUCAUGUAUGGUGUUUGUGUCAGUGAUUCAUAGCUUAUAGCUAUUAGAUAACUUAACUAUCAAGUUGCUUGUAAAAGUAAUAUUGAAAUUAUUUUUGCAAUUUUUUUUCAAAUCACAGCUGUAAUAAUUAUCUAUCUCUUUCCAAUUCCCCCAAGUGCUGAAAGAGAGACAAAAACCAAUGUAAAAAGCAAGAACCAAAACACAAUAAAAUAUAAAAUAAGUAGAUAGGUGCUUAUAUUGACAGAGUCGGUAAGAGAUGCAACUAACAAAAUUUUUAGUUGUGACAUUUUAGCAAGCACAAGAGACUCAAUUCAUCCACUUUAUUUAUUUUAUUAUAUUGAAUUACUCAUUCCAAUAUUAUAGAGUUUAACAAAUAUUGGGAAAAUAACUCAAUGUAUUUUAACAAUUUUGCCAUAUAAAUUUGCAAGGGACCGAAAUUUUAUGAGCAUGCAUAUGUCUAGAAAACCAAAGCAGUUGGUGGAAAAAAAAAAUGGAGACUACAUUAAAAAUAGGGAAAUGAUAGAUACAGUGACAAAGUGACAAAGUGACAAACUGUAUCAAGACAAUGUAUUUGCUAACACCUUUCUUUAAUUACACACCAUUACCUCUCUUGAUUUGUGGCAAAUAACAAAUUUAAUUGGCUGAAACUUUUUCUUGAUCAAUUCUUGAUAAAACCUUUCUAGAUAAAUAGCAAUGCUCUGAAAAAUAACAUGGAAAAAAUAAAAUUUUAGUGACAUCCUAGUUUAUCCAUUCUCCAAACCGUCCCCUCGUAUUGGAUGGGUAUCUCUCUUCUUCCAAAUUCUCUUGUUGAUGAAAUUGAAAAGAUGAUCAACUCCUUUUGGUGGGGUCAUGGUAGAGCAACACGAAAGGGCAUUCAAUGGUACGUAUUAGAAGCAAGUUCCCACCGUUGCUAGUGUUGUUCGUUCGAGCAACGCACGCAUGAGAACACAUGAGUAACAACAUCAUCUCUCGUCUUCAACACAAGUGGAAGUGUUUGGCUGUUGGGAGAUUUAAAUUUAAUAUUGAUGUCUCGUUCUCAGUCUCAAGUAACAUAGUAGGUAUUGGUACGUAUGUCCAUUCGUGAUGACACCGGUGUGUACGUCCUUGCUAAAACAUUUUGGUUUUCACUAGUUUGUUCAGUUGAUAUAAGAGAGGUGUUGGGUCUUUGUCAUGCUAUUAAUGGAUCAAUGCAUUAUAGUUGACGAAUGUUGAUUUUGAGGUGGAUUCCAAAAAGUUGUCGACUAUUAUCAUAAAGGUAGCAUGGAUAUAACGGAAUUUGGAGCCAUUAUGAGGCUUGUAAACAUUAUUGUAGUUUAUUUUUUGAAAACUCUCAAUGUGAAGUUUAUUCUGAUGCAAGCAAAUGAGAUGGUUCAAAGCAACAUCUCGAGUUAGCUUCCAUGUCUUUAUUAAUAUAUCGUCAUACCGAAUUGAUAUUUAAUGAAAUGCUAUUAGGUUUUUCCUUAAAUGCUUGAUAUCUCUUGAAGUCUUACAAUCCAACUCAAUUCUUUGAUUUUCAUUCAUGGUGGUCAAACUCUUCUCUAUGUUUAGUAGGGGUGGGAACAUAUCAGGCCGUCCGACAGGGGUCUACAGCCUAGCCUAUUUAAAGCCUAACUCGAUUCAUAAGAUUUUGUUAUUUAGUUGCAGACAUAUUCGUGUGUUUUACGCCUUCGUAAGGUUUGGCCUAUUUAGUAGUAGGCUUAUAGAUGUAGUUAGGCCUUAGUGUAAAAUAGGCUUUUAAAUAGGCUUCCAGGCUUCAUCGGGCCUUUAUAAAAGUCAUGUCAGACCUUAAAAAUGAGUCUAUGACGAGUAAUAGGUCAGACUCCGACCUAUACUUUUUGAAGUAGGUCAGGCUCAGGCCUUAUAAAGCUCGGCCCGACCUAGCCCAUUUCCACCCCCAAAGUUUUGAAAAGGCUUUAUUAAUCUUAUUUUUUUUGGUAGUGCUAUUAAUCUACUUAUCUUUAGGUCUUUACAAAAAAAAAUUAUAAAUUAAAAAGAUAGUUUACGGCAAAAACAGUUGCAUAAUUAAAAAGAGCCUUGGGGACCAAGCAAGGGUUUAGAAACAAAACCCUAAUUCCUCUUUCCAUUUUACGAAACGCAAGGACAAAUACAUAAUCACUAAACAUUUUUGUUUAGUUUCAGCAUCGCAAGGACAGAGUAACGAAAAGCAGCAUUGCAACGGAGAUUGAUACCAGUGGCGGAGCCAGGAAUAUUGUAAAGCCCGGGCAAAAAAAAAAUUGCAACACAUUUAUAGGGCGUACAUAAGAAAUUGCAAGCAAAUAAUAAAAAACAUAAAGAAAUUGUCCAAUUUAUAGGGAUUUAUAUAAGAAAUUCAUAGGAAUUUACACAAAAAAUUUGGCCCGGAGCCCGGGCGAGUGCCUGGGGUCGCCGGGCCUUAGAACCGCCCCUGAUUGAUACAGUGACAGAGGCGGCAGUGGUGGAGGAGAAGAGGACGACAGUAAACAACGUGAUGUGUCUUUUGACAGACCAAGAUGGUGGUCCUAUUGGUGCUCCUCCUAUGUACCUUCCUCAGAACAUUGGUCUUCAACAGCUUCAACUCAUCGUUAAUCAGCUUCUGAACAAUGUAUUAAUAUCGAAAUUCAGUUUCAAAAAAAUAAAUGAAAAAUGUAUUGGUCGAGAAAUGAUAUUUUGCUAGACAAUACUUUAGGUGUUAAUGUGUGGCUAACUACGUGCAGGGGAUGAUUGAUAAGGCCCUGGUUGAUAAGCUAACUUAUAGCUGAUGAGCUUAUAUCAGAUAGCUAAUAGCGAAUAAGCUAACCGAUCGAAUUUGUAAUGUUUGGUGAAAUUAGUGGUUGAACUAGCUUAUAAAUAUGAAAUGACAUAAAAAUGAUAUAUCUAAUGAAUAUUUAAUUUUUUUCCAAUUAAGAUUAUAGGCGUAAAAUUGAGAUAAAUAAUGAUAAGCUUUAAGCUAUUGGGAUUAGCUUAUCAAAAAGUGAGGGUUACCAAUUAGUCAAAUGAGCUUAUAUGACAUGAGUUAUAAGGUAUAAGCUCAAAAUUAUGUCUUGCCAAACAAACACUAAGUAUAAGGUAUAAGCUCUCUCUCUCUCUCUCUCUCUCUCUCUCUCUCUCUCUCUCUCUCUCUCUCUCUCUCUCUCUCUCUCCCCUGUGUUUUGCUUACGUUGAAAAAUAAUUGUUAAAUACUUGCCUACAUUGCUGAAUAAUGCUUCCAAACUCGAUAUGGUGAAUGCUUCCACCUUUGAAAGCGUCUAUCACUAUUUUAGAAUCAAGCAAGAAAUCCAUACCAUUAAAACCCACUUCAGCGAUCCACUACAACAUUUGAAAAAGACACAUUGCUUCACCCAGAUCAAUCGAACAUAAUGGAGAGAACCAUGUUGUUCUCGCAAGGACAAAGCCACCAUCGAAAUCACAAACACACAUUCCUAUGCCAACUUUAUUAUGAGCAGAAAAGAAAGAAGCAUCAACAUUGCAUUUAUAUCUACCUGGUGUGGGUCUCUUCCAACUAGGAGUGUGAGUAGGUGAGACUGCGCUUCGGUUAUCCUAGCGCUUGUUCUCAUCUCGUGCGCAAGCUUUCAAUCUUCUAGCAUAUGCACAACAAGUUCAAUUACUUGGCCAUUUGUUUCAUGGAAUUUUUGCCACAAUUUUAAUUCCUACGCUUCCAAAGAUUUCACAUGAUGACAUUUAUUUUAUAAACUAGUUACAAACCCGUGCUUCGCACGGGUUGAAGAACAUAUUUUGUAAAAAAAAUUGUUUCAAAGAAAAAAUGAGCAAAUUAAGGAAUAUUGCACAAACAUUAGAAAUAUUUCUCAAAGCUUUAUCGGGUCUUGAUUCAUAAAAAGAGCAUAUAUUUUGUUCAUGAGAUUGAGAAAACAACAUAAUAAUUAAGAUUAAACUAAUUGGAACCGAUGAAGGAACCAAUAAUGUGCAAAUUACGAUUACAUUCGCAUGACACAAAAUGAACCAAAGAAACAACAUUUCCAAGUUAAGAUAGUUUUGAAUUAGAGUUAAGGGUAAGUCUAAAGUAUUAUACAUUCAGGUACCAAACAAGCUAGAGUAUAGGAGUUCAUGAAGAACAAAAUGAGUAGCAGUCAAGUAGGAAAAUAAAAGUAUCUCUAAAUUGACAAUGAUGAAACGAAUACUCAUUACCAUAUUCGUAAACUCUUUCUUCAAACAAAGAAAAACAAAAAGAAAAAUUAAAACCCUCAAAUCUAUACCCAUCAUUUCUUCAAUUCAUAUAAUAUUUUUCUUCUUUCUAAUACAGCGUUCUUCUUCUUGCUUGAAAAUUAGUAUUAAUUACUUCCUAGCUCUCAAAGCUGUUGUUGAAAACAAAGACGUGUCCUGCUAGCAAGUUACUACACAACCAUUUUCUUCUCUCCAGCACAAUCUCAAACUCUCCAGCAGAGUUACACUUGAUUUUAGCCUUAAGUCCUGAUAAUUUAUACUUCACCAUGAUCUACAUUUUGAACGGGGACAGGACUGAUGUUGUCAACAUAGAAUCUAAAGACCCUGCUAUUUCCUAAAACCUGAGGCAAUUGAAGAUAUGAGAUCCAUAUCACUAAUAAUUCAGGUAUUCUUAUAAAGUUUUGACCAUCUUAAAGAUAAGAAUCACCUCAAAGCAAAAUAUAAACUCUCUAAGUUUCCAAUUCCAUUGCUUCAUGAACUCGGUAUAGAUUGCUUCAGAUCAAAAUUUAGCAACAACAGAUCUCGACGCACAGUAGCCUUGCAUGGAGUUAAAUGACAUAUAUUAGUGAAUAUAUACUCUUAGACAUGUAUCAAUAAAUCUAGCAAAUACACAGUUAAAUUAACAAAUUUGUUUGAUACAUUAAGGCCACAUUAAAAUAAAGGCCUUUACGAAAGAAGUUAAAGUUGUUGUGGUUUAUUUGAUUUUUUAGUUUUAAAGCUAUUUUUAAGUUAAAUGUUGUGUGGCAAAAUAUUGUACAAACUGUGAAUUUUUUUAUUUUUUUAUGGUAUCCGGGGUUCGAACCCCGGACUUGGCAUGUAUUUAUGCAUUGUUCAACUGAGUUAAGCUCACAAGGACAAAACUUUGAAUUUAUUAUGAAUUAACAUAAUAAAUAAAUAAAAAGUUUAAAACAUUUUUUGAAGGCUAAAAAUGUUAAAAAUAAAAGAUAUUUUUUUUUACAAAUACUAUAUUUACUCAAUAACAUUAUUUUGUGUAACAUGAAUAUAAAUUUGUAUCAUCAUAUAAAUGACUUGUUAAAUAUUUGAAUAGAAGAAACAAUUUAAAGAGUCUGAAAUAAUAACAUAAAUAAUAUCAAAAUAGUUGGUUUUUUUAUUUCAAUUAUAAUCUAUAACAAAUUUCGUUAUAAGAAUAUCAUAUUUUUGGUGUCUUUGAAAAAUAUAAGAAUUUAUAUUAUAUGAUAUUAUAUUUGUUACAUUGUUGGUGUCAUGGAAACAAAUAUGUUUAGUUUUUUUUUUUUAAUAAGAGAAAGAUAUGCAUAGUUUGUUACAAUAUAAAAAUGCAAUAUAUAUAUAUAUAAGUAUUAUUUUUUUAGGCAUCUAUACCUUUUUUGAAGAAAACAAUAUUACUUUUAAUUAAAAUCAAAAUUUUAUUAAAACAAUCAUAUGCAUUAUGCAAUGCCAAAAAAAAAAAUUAUACGCAUUAGCGUAACAAAAAAACAGACACACAUAAAAUAUUACUCUAAACGCUAAUGUGUGUGUAUAUAUUUGCGAGGUUGAAAAAAUAAAAUAAAAUUAUUUGGUAUUCCUUUGAAAAAAGAUAAUAAAAUUCCUUUGAAAAAAGAUAAUAAAAUUAAAUGGAACUUCCUUAAAAAAUUAAAUGAAACGGUUCAAAAAAAUAAAAUAAAAUAAAGUUAAAUGGAAGAAAAAACAUAUUGAAAUAUAAUAUUAAAAGAAUAAAAGAAAAGGUUCCCAAUGUGAGUUGAAAAGAGGUGCUUGUGAAAUAAAUUGUCAAUAAGUAGCUUUUUAAAGUAACAUUCAAGAACUUUUGGCCAAAUCUCAUUCCAUUCAAUUUUAGCAAGCACUUAAUUGAUACUGUGUUUGGUCUAACUUCUCCUUAAAAAUGUAGAGAAGUUGGAAAAAAGUCGGGUCAUACGAUAUCUUAAUCUUCCACAACGGCAAUGUAGAAGCAACUGAAUUUGGGAGAAAAAAAAAAUUGAAAAAUAGUUAAAAGUUAUUAAAAUAUAAAAAUUAGAAAAUAAAAAAAAAUUUGAUGAGGGGAAAAAUGGAAAUUCAUGGCAUGAUGAGUUGGCAGCAAUCAAAAUCCAUAAAUUAUGGAAUUACCAAAUUGCCCCUCAUAGGGGCAAAAAUGUAAAAACAUGAUACAUUUAUUUUAAUAGAUAGUAAGUAGAUUUUUAUUGAGAUAACUCGAUUUUCUCAUAUAAAUCAAAAUAAAUUGGUGGCUUUGGCACUACAUGCUUCUAACAUGUACAAUGUAACAAGUACUUAUAAUUACAUGAUGUUGUCAUAUAACAUUUUGGCAGCUGAUCACUUAAAUGCAAUUUGGAAUAACGAGGUUCCUCUGAAAGUUAGUCUUUUUGCAUUGCGUUUGCUCUGUAAUCGAUUAUCAACAGCAGAUAAUUUAAUUAGAAGGCACAUUCUUCAUCAUAAUGCUCAACUUUGUGUGUGUGGUUGUGUUAUAAUGGAAGAUAUAAACCAUAUAUUUCUUUCUUUUGAUUUUUUUUUUUUUUUGAAAAAAUUUGGAUUGGUAUCCGUAAUUGGCUCGACUUUACUACGGUGCAUCCAAAACAUGUGGCAGACCAUUUCCUUCAAUUUGAAAAUGUAGGCGUGUUUCCAGAGAACAUCCGAAUAACUUUUCAACUUAUAUGGUUAGCUUGUGUUUGAGUGAUUUGGUGUUAAAGAAAUGCUCGAUUUUUUUGCAAUUAAUAGGAGUUGUUACAACAGCUUGACAAAAUUAAACUUCAAUCUUACUCGUGGCAAAAAGCAAAUAGAAAUGAUUUUGCUUUUACCUAUCACUUACGGUAGCUUAACCCUUUAACUUGUUUGGGAAUUACUUUGUAAUGAGGUCUUUUUGUCCUAUGUUUCCCUAUUUUUUGCUAUUUGAAGUAACGUGAUUUUUAUCUUGGGUUCGGCACUCCUUGUGCUGAAUUUUCAAGAAUUUCGGUAAAUAUAUAUUUCAUUUUAGCAUUUUAAAAAAAUUGUUCAAAAAUAAAAGUAGCACUCCGCUGUUCCUUUUUAAAUGUUGUUUGACUGCAAUUUAGCGUUCCUUUAUAACUGUCGUUUUGGUGUUUUAAGAGUCCAAUUUAUUUAUGUCAUUUCUCAAUUACCCUUAUCUUUUUCAAUAAAACUAAUAAUGUUAACUAUUUGGUAAACUAAAUUUUGUCAUUUUUAAAUAAAGUUUGUUUUUUAAACAAAGUCAAUUUUAUAAAACAAAGUUUUUUUUUUUUUAAAUACUUUUUUUUUUUGGUACAAUAUUUUUUUUAUCUUCGUCAUUCAAAUCUAUGUCACAAUGUGAAUCUAAUAUUGGUUGAAACCAUAGUUGAAGUCUUAACUUUGAUUAAAUAAGUUGAAAAAAAAAAGUUAUUUUUUUCUUAAGGUAUGUUAAAAGGAGAGUAUAACAUAAACAAAAUGUGCAAAAGUAAAUUAAAAACAUUUUAUCCAGAAGUUCUAGCUCAAGUGGCUAAAAGCCAAAAUUGUUAGGCUGGAUGUCAUGACCGGGGGUACCUCCACUUAUGUGUGUGAGUUUAUAAUAACUUUGUCAUUUUGUCUAUCUACAAAAAAAAAAUUAAAAACAUUUUAUUGUAUGUAAAAAUAUUGCAGAAAAGGAAUGAGAAUUGUUGUUCCCACAUGUGAUAAGGUUGUGCCACACUAGUAAAAUACGAUUUUACCCCCUCAGCAGUUAACUACCGAGGAAUUUGAAUUCCGGCUGCAGUUAACUGCUGAGGAAAUGUUUCAUCAGAUGAAACAGCCACCUGCUCCCCCUACACACUAUUUUCUUCAUCACCUUCAUUUCCACCUCCAUUCAAUCCAAAAAUCCAAUUUAUUUUAAUCAAUUCUUGAUCCAAAAUCAUUCAAGCAUCAAGCAUAGGAGGUAUCAACACACUUUUGACAUAAAAAAAACAGGUAUUGUGCAUUUUAUUCGAUUGAUUUUUUGGGUAUUUUAUGGGUAUCUACGUCAGUUACGUAGAACCCUGUCAUGGGAACCUCGGCAGUUAACUGCCGAGGAAAACUUCGGUAGUGUAGAGCCGAGGAAAACCUCGGUAGUAAGGUGCCGAGGAAAACUCUUGUGAAAAAAUUUCAUAGGGAAAAAAUGGCAGCUACUGCCAGUUUUUCAAAUUUGUUUUUUUUUUGUUUUUUUGUUUUUUUUUUAAUUCAUUAUGGCAUUGAUGUUUAUACAUUAGUUAGUUGUUAAUUCAUAUUUAUGUGUUGUUUAAUUAUAGUAAUGGUAGAGAACGCGAAAGAUGUUCCGGGAGAGACAAAACAAAAUUUUGUCGAAAAUUCCGGAGAUGUCAAACCGCCUAAGGUUGAAGCGAAACCAAACAUUGAUGGAGCUUCCGUCCAUNNNNNNNNNNNNNNNNNNNNNNNNNNNNNNNNNNNNNNNNNNNNNNNNNNNNNNNNNNNNNNNNNNNNNNNNNNNNNNNNNNNNNNNNNNNNNNNNNNNNUUUUAUUCAUGAAAUAUAAAUUAAUUUAUUUAUAGAUGGCCUGCGGCUAUCAAUACAAUAUCAUUAUAUAACUGCAUCUCAUGAUUCAAUGUAGCAAUGGCAGACGUAUUAACAUUCUUUUCACGAGCUAAGCUAUCUUCACACCUUCCAAGUGCAUCACUAGCAUAUCUGAUAUCCAAGUCUAUAAGGUCCGGUUCUUCAAUCAAUGCAACUUUUAAUUGACCAACCACACUAUUAUAAUCAUUAGCACAUUCUUUGAUGGGUUGAGAAGAAGGAUAUUUUUUCAUAAUUUCUUUAACUUGUUGUUGGGAUUUUAUUGCCUUCCCUAUUGCCGCAAUCUUUAAAAAUGACCUGCAAAAGGUAAGAUAAUCUUUGAUCAAAGUAAUUGGAGGGUAACCUUCUAUUAGUUUGAGACAGCGUUGUUCGAAGUCUUUCUGACCAGGUUGUUUGCAUACAUUUUGGUACAACUUGAGGCUUGGUGUUGGUGAAUUGGCAUGGGAAAUAAAGAUCAUUGAAAUGGUGAGCAAAAUGGAUAAAUAGGUUGAAGAUGCCAUUUUCUCUUUUGACAAUAGACUUAGUUUGUUGUUGAGGAGAAUGGAGAAUAGACGUUAGGGUUCUUAAUUUAUAGGCAUUAUAAUGCAGUACCUUUUUUUUAAGGACUUCACUCAGUCAAAAUAAGUCAAUGAAUGUAGUCAGAAAGAAAUUCAUUCACCAUUAAUAUUCUUGGUUUUUUGUUAGUAACUCAGUUCAUACCAGUAAUGACGUACUAUGACGAGGUGCGACUCAUGCAUAUCGUUUUCAUUUCUUUUGAAUUUUUUUAUUUUUUUUUGUUGACAAGGACUUCUUUUUGUUUUGAAAUUAGUGUUUUUCUUUUUUGUGGUGGUCGGGAUUCGAACGUCACACCUUCCAUAUAUUAUGCAUUGUUCAUAUCAACUGAGAUAUGCUCACGAGAAUAUUAGUGUUUUCCUUUGAUUACACCUAGCAAUGAAUCGAACCAACUCGACAAAAGUUCGAAACUCGAUUCAACAAUUAUCUCGUUGAACUUGGUUCAUGAACCAAAUGAGCUGAACUUUAGCUGAAAAUUAAGUUCAUUAAAUAAAUGAGUUGAACUUGAGUUGUAUAUAGUUCGACUCGAUUGGUUAAUGAGUUGGCUCGAUAAUAUAUACAUCCUCCGGUCACUAAUACAAGCAAAAAACUACAUUUUAGGUUCAACGCAGUAACUUGAGUUGAAAAAAAGGUUCGUAUCGAACUCGAAUCGAGUCGAGCUCAGACAAGUUCGAUUCUACUCGACUCAUUUCCAGCCCUACAUCUCAGUUACUAUUGUAAAAAUCAAAAUUUUAUAUUUAUUCAUUAAAUGAUGUAUAUAGACUACAUAAUAAAGGAGUUACAAUCCUCUCCAUUUGUAUUUUUCUCCAUUUAUUUCAUUUGGAGAUAUAAAAACACAAAAAUUUGAAAAAAGUUUAAAAUAAUUAAUGAUGGUGGGACCCACGUAGUGGUAGGAGCCAUAUAAGGCUGGAAAUGAGUCGAGUCGAAUCGAACCUGUCUAAGCUCGACUCGACUCGUUAAGAAUUUGCUCGGUUUGAAUCUCGGUUCGAGUUUGACAAGAACUUUUUUCCAGCUCAAGUUCGGCUCGUUUAAAGUCCACGAACAGUUUGGUUCGGUUCAUUAGAUUCAAUUCGUUUGUUCAAAACACGUAACUUUAGGUAUGGAAAUGAGUAAAACCACAUGAACCACAUAACUCAAAAGUCAAAGAAUUUAAAUUUUUGACCCAUAAAUAUAUUGGAAUUUAUACCAAUUUUUAAUGGACAAGAUGAGGCUAUUAUUUACACAUAGUAAUUAACACAGGUAUGCAACCACCAAAUCCAGUUUUUUCUUAUCGUGUCAUAUGUUUCACUUAUUAUAUAUAAUGGUAUCUUCCAUUUUUCACGCAUGUUCUGAUGCGGGACUAUUUCAAUUUUGAAAUCCUUAAAAACUACACCAACAUUGUGCAUGGCGUUGUCUAUCAAUUUUAAUGUAACUCAUUUUUAUCUUAUUAUUGCUAAGUGUUUGUCUUAAUUUUUAAAGUAUUAUAUAUAAUCAAUUAUCUAAUUCUGUAAAAUCAAUUAUAUAUAAAUUUAAAAAUAUUUUUUAAGUGAUAUAUAUAAUCGAGUCAUCUCGUGAACCAAACGAGUCGAACUACAUAUUGCUCAAGUUCAGCUCAAUUAGUUGACGAACUUAAUUUUCAGCUCAAGUUAGGCUCAUUUGGUUAAUGAACCAAGUUUGAUGAAUCAAUUAUCGAAUCGAAUUACGAACUUUAAUCGAGUUGGUUUGGUUCAUUGUCAGCCCUAGAGCCAUACUCAUAUGAUACAUUUCUGGAAUCUCUAGAAUCAGUAGCUCCAUCACCACUAGAAGACGUGUUUUUCUCAGGACCUUUUCUGUUACACUGUUAAGUGCUAGGAAUAGAACAACAAAACCAGACGCUCUGAUACCAACUGAAGGUGAUAAAAACACAAGAAGGGAGGUUGAAUUGUGUUAGCUUUUUAUUGUUUUAAAUUAAGUCCAAAGUCCAGAUUCUUAUAGAGUUCAGAACCUAAAGCGAUAUUCAGAGUUAAAUUCGGCAGAUAUAAAAGAGAUAGAGAGAGAAGAAAGAGACACAUAAAAUGAUCCUAGUUCCUUCCAUAAUCCGGAAGUAGUACAGUCUCCUUGUCACUUACAAGAGAUUUUUUUCACUAUAAUCACACAAGAUUACAAUUGCUCAAGCACACAAGCAAGAGACUUCUUAUGCUCAAGCAGACAAGCAAAAGACUUCUAACAAACAAAGAUUACAAAGAAAUAGUUGUUUGGUUGAACACUUGAUAUACAAUCAGAGGUGUUCACAAAUACAAAACAGUCCAAACUCUAGACUUAAGAAUUUCUAAGAUAUGAUAGUUUAUAAGAAAUUCUAAGUGUUUGAUGCGUAAUGAAUUUUACAGAGUUUUAGCACUUGUAAAAUAUGGCAGAGUCAUGUAAAUUCUUCAAGUCUUUAAUCGUUUAUAUAGAGGUAGAAAAGAGAUGUUGAAGAGUGCCAGCACAUCAAAGAGUCAUUUGAGAAGCUUGAUCAUUCAACAUUGAUUUCUUCCUUGAUUUGGUUAAUGUCCUAUGAUGGAAUGAGUUUGAAUCCUUUCCUUGAUAAGUAAUUAAUCGUUCUUUUCCAAUGGAGACACAUUUGUAGCUUCCUAAAAUGCACAUGGGAAUGUUGGAGGUAGUAGAGUGGUGGUCGUACUAGAUUGUGCUUAUUAGUACCUUCACUAAAAAUGACAUCCAUUGUCCUUAUUCGUACAAGAUUAUGCAUGAUCUUCAGAAUAAUUCAGGCUUGAUCUUCAAAGCUUCAGCUCCUUUUUCCUUUAGCUUGUCCAGAUCCUGACCUUCAGAGCCUGAAACAUCUUCAGAGUCUGACUAUUUCCAGAGUCUGACUCCUUCAGAUUUGCAACAAAGUUUCUCUUGAAAACCCUUGCUCUUCAAUUUCUUAUUUCAUAACCAAUUGAACUUUUAAUACCUUGUUAUCAUCAAAAUUUAAGCAGUAUUGUUUAAACUUAUUUUGUUUCAACAACCUUCAUAAGGAAAAGGAGAAUAAAAGAUACGAAUAUCGUCAUCCAUUAGAAUAUAUGCUUAAACAUAACAAUAUAUGAUCAAGGCUUUUUUUGGCUGCUCCUAUGGUGGUUUCACAAAAUUCACACUUUCAUAAAUCUUGCUGACUUAUUUAUUUCUUGAAAUAGAUUCUAACUUUUUGUGAGGAACUGUUUGACGAAUCGAUAGGAUUAUACCUUUAUUGUAGACCGUGUUUGGGAAGCAUGACUAGCAAAGGUUUAACAUCUCUUCUUCUUCCCACAAGUGAAGACUUGGUUUAGGGUUGACGCUUUCAACUGACACUCUCAGCUCCCCGGUGGCUAUCCAUGGAGAGGGAUCAGUUCUUCAUUUACUUUUUUUCUUUCCAUUUUCUCUUAUCCAUUAUGACCUUCUUUUUAUUCUUGAAGGGUGGUGUCAGCUAGGAAGGGCUAGUUCCUUAUCUCCUCUUUAUCUAAUCAACUCCUUCGAUUCCACAAAGAAGGUGGUGUUGACAGGGAGUCUUUGACUUCUCCAUGUUCGCUUGAGCACAUAGUGUUGGCUAGGAGUCUUAGACUGCUUCACGUUCACUCGAGCACAAGGUUUCUGCUAGGAGGCUUUGACUUCUUCAUGUUCGCUCGAGCACAUAGUGUUGCCUAGAAGCCUUUGCAUUUUGCCCAGUCUCUGGCUGGUGCAUCAUGGUUUACUCUGCCAUUAAAAAACAGAAGAAUAACGUAUUCCUCUAUGGGAAAUUGCCUUGAUUUAUUUAUUCAUUGGAAAAUCAUAUUUACAAGUGGAUUUUUCAUUUAAGUAGGGUGAGGACUUAGCUAUAAUAGCAUUUCAACUUGUUUGAUUUCCAUGUUCUUGGUACUAGCUCUCCUUUGAGUGUUUCAAGCGUGUAUGACCUUUUUGAUGUGCUCAUCAUUAUUCUUUACGAUUCUUUCCAAUUUGGGGCUAACAAGGUCUCCCACUUCAAAGUCUUGAGGUCUUACCUUGUUGAAAAUAUAUCAUGGAAUGUGGUCAACACUGAUGAUCAUUGACAUAUAAAUGCAUAUGGAAUUAAAGAAGCAUAUCAUGACAGAUUCCUUGUACAGAAGUUGACUCAUGUAAUGUAUUUAGUAGUUUUUAUAUUAUAGGCUAGUCAUUAUUACGUAGAUUUCUUGUAUUCUUGUAUAUAUAAGAUAUUACAUGAAUAAGAAUAAUGCACAAUUGUAACAUCAAUACUGUCAUAUCCUUAUUUCCUAUACUAGUCAUCCUUUUCUUAUAUGGUAUCAGUUGUUUGUCUUAUUUAUAUCAUCACUUUGUUCCAGUUUUUUACCUUUGCAUCUAUUUGUCAUCAUGUCUGAUUUACCACCAUCAUAAAUUCCUCCACUUUCUUCCAUCUCCUAACCUAUAGAUGUCCACUCAACAUGAACAACAACCUCAAACCCAGACCCUUGUUUCAUUCAUCACUCAGACAACCCUUCAACUGUUCUUGUCACCCCUUUAAUUACAGGUGAUAACUAUGGUUCAUGGAAUCGUGCAGUGACAAUGGCACUGUGCAAAAAACAAAUUUGGUUGCGUUGAUGGAUCACUGACCAUUCCAAAGAAGACAUCCUUACAUAGCAACGAUGCAAUGAUUUGGUUGCAAGUUAUAUUCUUAACUCAGUUUCAACUGAGAUUCGUCCUAGUAUUUUGUAUGUUGAAAUUGCAGCAUAAAUCUGGUUCGAUCUAAAAGAUCGAUUUUGUCAAGCAAAUGCUCCUAAAAUAUAUCAAUUAAAACAAUCGAUUUAUGCCCUCAAACAAUACUGACAAAAUCUUUAAACUAAUGAUCCGAGGUACAAACUAUCUUCACCUCAUUUCAUCACACAUAUUUAUUUCCUUUCCUCCCCCAUAAGAUUUGUCAGACAAAUUCCUUUCAUUUUUGUUAAAGAAUGCGGCAAAGAAAAAACACAUUAACAAAUAACUAACCGCCAAAAAGAAUACUAACUCAGUUGUUGAUGCGAUUAGUGCCAAAUACAUACAUAUUGCAAAGGCUUCAUGGAGUCUAAAUAUAGGUCUCAGUAUUCUUUUAUGAUUGAUACAACUUUUGGAUGAUAUCAGCAAAGAAAAUAAACAUUGUCUAAAACAUUAUGAUAUCGACCAAGUUAUUUGUCAUAGGCCGAUUUUAACAUAAACUUUUCACACUUCAAUGUCUUUAUCCUUGCAUUUCUCUGAACCAUCCCAAGUGCCACAGACCCUAUUCAAGUUCUUCUUGCUUGUCAAACUACAAACAAAAAACAGAAGAAGAAAAGUUCGAUGAGAAAUUAUAACAACUCCAAAUAUGUACAAUCUCUCUAAAGAUGAGCCAGUUGAGCUUUUAAUGAAAUUUCGUGCAGAGUUAGGAGUAUUUAUCUACACAAUACCAAUCACUAAAAUUUACAAAUAAUCUUACAAUUGAGAGAGAGGGCAUAGAUUGUAUUGCAGCAAAAUAAAGACACGCUUGUUUACAAAAAGUUCAAAAUUCCUUUUAAAUUGAGUUUUGAAAUUAUCACCGGAACUUUAAACAUACAAUUAAAAAUAAAUAAAAAAUAAUUAAGAAAAUUUAGAGAUAAAUAAGGAAACAUUACUAAUAAUAGACAAUUUAGAAGAAGCAAGCACUCUUAAAAGAUGACAAAUGGCAAACUUGCCAAAAUACUAAGUUUGCUUUAUUAUAUUAUCUAUAGAUUAUGCUUUAUUGAUUUUUACAAAUUCAAACAAUGAAACAUGAUUAUAUUCUACUCCAUUACAUCACAUUCCAUCCAACCAAACAUACCUUUAGAGGGGAGCGGUUAUGGUGCAUAAGGAAAUCCUUAUGCAUCGUGCAUAAAUCCCAACAUAAUUGUUUCCUACACCCCCAAACACGAAAAUAAACUGAAUCAUCACCGUCGUUCAUCAUCAUCACCACUGGAAUCUUCAAUCUCAUCAUCAACACCGUCGUUCAUCAUUAUCACCGUACUGGAAUGCCAAAACCAUUUUGCUGUGGAAAUGGUUUCUGUGAGUUGUACUCCAAAACCAUUAGAUUUGCUUAAUGGUUUCAAGCAGGUGAAAAAAACUAAGGACCUAGAGCCAUUGCCAUCAUUCAGUUUUGGACUGACACAAUUGGUGAGGAGGAAAGAAAUGGUUUCUGUGAGUUGUACUCCAAAACCAUUUUGCUGUGGAAAUGGUUUUUGUGAGUUGUACUUCAAAACCAUUUUGCUGUGGGAAUGGUUUCUAGCAAGAACAACAUGAACAAUGUUUUCCAGCAAUUCAUUUUUUGAGCUUUCACUACAAAUCCAUCAAACACUUUUCCAGCAAACAAUCAUCAUAAUCACAACACACUACAAAUUUUGAAUUCUUCUUGCUGGAACAUUCCUUGAGCAUAGAAUCGAAUGCUCGAGUAACAAAACCUCUUGCAGCACCACCAACCAUUUCUUAAAAUCGAUUACUCUCUGCAACGCAUACGGAUCAACGACGGUGAUGAAUUCGGCAACGGAAUUGGAAGAAAUGUAGAUGAAUCGAGAUCAUUCGGAAUUGGAACGAGAUCAGUCGAAGUUUUCCGGCGACGGCGGAGGGAGUGGAAGCCGCGGAGGAAGAGAGAGAAUUCAGAAAUCGAAAUCAGUGUGUGAGAGAGAUCUGAGAGAUGGAAGAAGAGUGAUUAGAGAUUGAGAGAGAUCAUUCCGAUGGUUGCAGCGUUGGAGAGCGACGAAGCGAUCAGAUUGUAAGAGUGCAAUCAAAUCUGAUGGUUAUGAAGUGCUUAUGCACGAUGCAUAAGGAUUUCCUUAUGCACAAUAACUUUUGCCCCCUCAGAGUGUGUUCAUUUUGGUUGGAGGAAAAAAGAGCGGAGGAAAUAAAUUAGUUUAAAUUUAGUUAAUUGAUUAGAUUAUAAAUUAUUUCUAACGAAACUAAAAUAAAAAUUCGCAACGAAUAACAUAGGAUGAAUUUGUCUCUUAAAUACUCACAUGAAUUAAGUUCUGACAAAAUUCGCACAAUUUUUGUCAAUUUUUUUCUAUCACUUCUGACAUCUUCUCUGUUAAAUCAAACAUGUCUUAACUGAAACUAUUGAAAACAUAAUAAUACAAGUGAGGAGAAAAUUGUGGUUUUAUUCAUGAAAUAUAAAUUUAUUUAUUUAUAGAUGGCCUCCGGCUAUCAAUACAAUAUCAUUAUAUAACUGCAUCUCAUGAUUCAAUGUAGCAAUGGCAGACGUAUUAACAUUCUUUUCACGAGCUAAGCUAUCUUCACACCUACCAAGUGCAUCACUAGCAUAUUUGAUAUCCAAGUCUAUAGUGUCCGGUUCUUCAAUCAAUGCAACUUUUAAUUGACCAACCACACUAUUAUAAUCAUCAACACAUUCUUUGAUUGGUUGAGAAGAAGGAUAUUUUUUCAUAAUUUCUUUAACUUGUUGUUGGGAUUUUACUGCCUUCUUUAUUGCCGCAUUCUUUAAAAAUGACCUGACAAAGGUAAGAUAAUCUUCAAUCAAAGUAAUUUUGGGGUAAGCUUCUAUAAGUUUCAAACAACGUUGUUCAAAGUCUUUUUGACCAGGUGCUUUGCAUACAUUUUGGUACAACUUGGGGCUUGGUGCUGGUGUUGGUGUUGGUGAAAUGGCAUGAGAAACAAAGAUCAUUGAAAUGGUGAGCAAAAUGGAUAAAUAGGCUGAAGAUGCCAUUUUCUCUUUUGUUAAUUAUAAUGGACAAUAGACUUAUUUUGUUGUUGAGGAGAGUGGAGAAGAGACGUUACUUAGGGUUCUUAAUAUAUAGGCAUUAUAAUGUAGUACCUUUUUUUUUUUUAGAAAUCUCAAUCAAAAUGAGUUAAUGAAUGUAGUCAGAAACAAAUAAAGUCACCAUUAAUAUUCUUGGUUUUUUUGUCAAAAAAACUCAGUUCAUACCAGUAAACGUACUAUUUCGAAAAAUUGCCAUUUUAUUUAAUUUAUUCAGUUUUCACAAUUUCUUUUUUGUUUUGAAAUGAGUGUUUUCCUUUGAUGUAAUUAAUUUAUAUAAGACCAAUAAAAGUUGGUCGGUUUCCUUCACAAUUGUUUUUUUUUUCUUCUUUUGGUUGGCAGUCAUUUCCAAUUUUAAACUACACUAUAAUUUAGUUUUAAAUAUUUUCAAAAUCUGGUCAACCUAAAUUAAAUAAAUACUAUUGUCUAUUAUAAUUAAGCUAAAGUUAAAGAAAUUAAUAUGUUAAAAGGUUAAGGUUCAAGUUAUGACCAAAAACAACAAAAAUAUUAAAAAGAUAAAAUAAGUACCCUAUUUAUAAGAAAAAUUUGAAUUUUUAGAUUCGUUGAAUAAUUGAUGUAUCUUGUCUAGAAUAAUUAAGCUAAAGUUAAAGAAAUUAAUAUGUUAAAAGGUUAAGGUUCAAGUUAUGACUAAAAACAAUAAAAAUAUUUAAAAAAAAAAAGUACCCUAUUUAUAAGAAAAAUUUGAAUUUUUAGAUUCAUUGAGUAAUUAAUGUAUAUUGUCUAGAAUAUAGACCAAAUGCAUCAUUUAUGCAAUGAAUCAGAAAAGUAAAUUUUUUCUUAUAAAUAAGACCGAAGAAAAUAUUUCAUUACAAGAGAUGCUUAAAUUACACGACUCUCACAUAUUAGAUAAGUUUUAAGCUAAAAGAUCAAGGUUCAAGUUAUAACUUUUUUUUUUUUUUGACAGAAGGUUGAAGUUAUAACUAAAAACAAUAAAAAUAUUAAAAAAAAUAAUUAAAAAAAGUAUUUCUUUACAAGAGAUGUUUAAAUUACAUGACUCUCACAUAUUAGGUUAAUAUAUAUGGGAAAUAAGCUAGAUCAAGUUAAGCUUUGUAAGACUUAUGUUUAACCUCAUCAAAAAAAAAAAAAAAUGCUAAGGCCUAAAUCUAGCAUGUAGUGUGUCAUGAUAGGCUUAUUUUUAGACCUAGCCUAUUCCAAAGUAUGGUAUUAAGCUAGACAUAGAUUUUAUAAGACUAAAAUGAUUGUUGAUUGUAUGCAAACAUGCAUGUCAAUCGUAGUUACCAUAUUUUAUUGAGAAGAUUCGUCUUGUAUAGCUUUGAGUCUCUCUUGUUUUAACUUUUUCAUCGCUAUUAUCUUGAUCUCAUAAUCGAAUAGUAAUUCUUAGACAGAAGUUUUACCUUGCAUACAAAAACAAGCGAGUUGUACCAAACUCGAAAAGAAUUGGAAUGAAAGAGUUCAAAGAAUAAAUGAAAUAAAAAUAAACUAAAUAUUCACAAAGAAAGGAAAGAAAUGUAAGUAGAAAAGAAAAAAAGUAUGAACUAAGUCUAAUUAAUGUACAAACUUCUAACAAUAUAAUACUUACCUUACAAUUAAUUGAUGCAAGUCCCCGAUAAUAGAUAGAAUGUACAGGGAUUGAGUUUCAUUAGUUAGCUCACUAAUGUUUUUCUUGGAUUGAUUAUAAAAUCCACCUCUUCCAAUUAUACCUUCAUCUAUUUUCCUUCAAAUAUCUCGAUGUCUCACAGAUAAUGGAAAAACAUAGAUAGUCUCUAACAAUUGAGGUCUCGCUUAGUUAGGUAAAAAAGAAGCAUUAAGUUUUGACGGUGUCUGUGAUUGUAAACCUAACCUGAUGUCUUUAAACUAGAACCUACAAAUUCCCUUACACAUGUCUGCUACAAGGGAUGUUUAUGACUACCACACCCCAAGGUAAAAUAUCAUUCUCGGAUUGCACCUUGGAGAAGAGUUAAGAUAAAUAAUAAAAACACCAAUGUAAUGAAAUAUGAUUUAUUUAUGUCCAAGUAUUUACAUUAGAUCAUAAACUAAUAUUUACACUUAAUCCAACAACAAUGAGAAAUUAGUUGCACGUAAUGAAUAACUUACAAGAUAUAGGAGAGGAUGUCAAGAUGUUUCUUCAACAAACUUGAGAUAGUGGUUCUGCCACAGAUGCAUCUAAAUGGGUCGGGUCACCCGUUUUGAUAGUUCUAUGCCACACCAGCCAGUUUGAGUUUUUAGACCACCAUUACUCAUCAGGCGAGAUAAUAGCUUUGUUGGACGAACUACCUUCUUAUUAAACCAAACUACUGAAAAUCAUAUACUCAAGUUAUAAAAUUGAUUUUUUUUCUGUCAGAAUCAACUAUCGAACAUAUGAGAAAUGUUCAAAUCUUUAAAGUAUAAAAAUCAUGUAACUUUUUACGAUAUUUUAACCUAGUUUUUAGAACCUUAAUUUCCACCUCUUAUCACCAUUUUGCUUUCCAUUUCAUUCCCUUUUGAAACUUUUGAAACUACACUAGAUGAGAAAGAAGUAAGAAGAUCAAAUUUUGUCAAAAAAAAAAGAAAAAAGAAGAUCAAAUAGAAUAAUUUUCAAAAAUUCAAACACCGAGGUUGUUUCUCAAAAUCUUCUAGACAACGGUUUUCAUCAUAUACCAAAACAUUUUGACCUACCAUUUGUGAGUGCAUUCCUCUUUUAUAGUGUUUUGUAUGAUAUCAAAAUUAGGGCAAAUAUAUUAAGCAUAUUUGAUAUAUAUUGGAUCUAAUCUCCCUUUUAUUGGGUGCUAACACCCUUAAGAAUGAUUAAAAUGCAACUAAAAUUGAAAGGCAACUAAAUUUUCGAUAAACUUGAUUUUCUAAGAUCAGAGACUAAAUUGAUGUCUUUUAAUGAUGCAAGCCUUCUUUUAAACGGUUCAAGUAGUCAAAUCCCGAAUUUUGUUAAGUACCAUAAAUAAACUGGAAUAGAUACAAACCUUCUUUGAAUCGGUUCAAGCUGUCAAAACUUUGAUUUUUUUUUCAAUACCAUAUUGAAACUUGAACCGAUACGAAAUGUGUUGCAAAUUUGAUAUCUCCUAUCACUAAUUCAUGCACCUUUUCCUAAGCAAGAGAGUACAAUAACUCAAAAGCUUUAACCUUUUUGUCUUCUCCCUUAUUUCAAACCACACAAUUCUCAAACACAUGGUAUUUAAAAGAAAAAUGUUAACUAGUGUCCCGAACACUUGUAGUUAAGAAAAUUAAAUAUAAUAUAGGUAUUUUGGAACUUGUGUAGUCAAAGUUUAAAAAGUGUAAAGAAUGAUAUUUUCAAUGCAAAUAUUUCUUUUUUUCUUUCCUUAACUAGUGCCUUAGAGACACUAGUUAACAAAACCCUGUUUAAAAUUGGAUGGUAGUUUCUGAAGGUGAGAAAAACACAAGAAGGGGGGGGGGGGGGGGGGGGNNNNNNNNNNNNNNNNNNNNNNNNNNNNNNNNNNNNNNNNNNNNNNNNNNNNNNNNNNNNNNNNNNNNNNNNNNNNNNNNNNNNNNNNNNNNNNNNNNNNNNNNNNNNNNNNNNNNNNNNNNNNNNNNNNNAGAGAAAAGAAAGAGAGACACAAGCAAUUAUACUGGUUCCUUCCACAAACCGGAAGUAGUCCAGUCCCCCUUGCACUUCCAAGGAGAUUUCCACUAAGAAAUAAUCACACAGAUUACAACUGCUCAAUACUACACCUAGUAUGAGACUUCUCAAUUGCUCAAGGACGCAGGCAAGAGACUUCCUUUGCUCAAGCACGCAGGCAAGAGACUUCCAAUGCUCAAGCACUAAAGCAAGAGACUUCUAAUCAAACAGAAUUACACAGAAAAUUGUUUGAGUUUGAACACUUGAUAUACAAUCAGUGGUGUUCACAGUACAAUGCAAUAAAAGACUCUAGACUUAAGAAUUUCUAAGAUAUAUCAAAUCAGUGCAGAAAUUCAGAGUGCUUUUGAGAAUCAAAUUUAGCAGAGUUUUGACGCUUUUAACUUGUGUUGAUAUCUCUAUCAGUCUUCAAGUCUUCACUCCUUUAUAUAGAGGUGAGUAGAGAGACGUUGAGAUUUUUAGCACGUCCAAAGAGUCGUUGAGUUCCUUUGAUCAUCCACUAGUAAUCUUUUGCCUGAUUUGGGUGUAGUCCUAUAAAGGAUCACGUUCAAAUCCAUUCCUAUCUUGAAGGAACAUUUCUGUAGGCAGAGCUGUUAUCUUGUCUUGUAGCGAGGACAUACUCAGGGUCGUGGAGGUAGUGGUUGUACACUUGUACUUUGUCAACUCUUCAAUGAGGUAAAAACACCAAGUGCUUUUCAAACGAACGUUGACACUUUCCUUUUGAUCCUUCGCUCUCUUAGACGAGGUUAACAUAACGAAUCAGCUCUUUUUGAGAUUUCAGAUUUAAUCUUCUGAUCAACUGUAACUUCUAGUGAUGAUAUAGCUUCUGAUGAACUUCUGCUUCUGAUGACGUCAUCACUUCAGAGGCACUUGAAACUUCAGAAGCACUUCAUAGCUUCAGACGCAGUUUUCUUCAGAUGCUUUUAAAUUCCUUUGCUCUCUAUUGUUCUUCCAAGAUCUAUUGAAAUUGAUUAACUUUGCCUAUGGUCCUGUACACUUGAACAAAUAUUAGCAAUAACCAAUUGACAAUUUUUAAUAUCUUGUUAUCAUCAAAACUCAUUAAGGUUUAUUGUAAAACACAUUUUGUUCCAACAGUUUCAACUUUUGUCUUCUCCAUUAUAGUCUAGUUUAUUAUUAUUUUUUUGAAAGGAGGUCGAAACCCACAUUAAUUAUGAUUUUUUUUAUAUGGAAUAUUAAUAAUUAAACAAUAAAUAUACUAAAAAUGGAGGGCUUUGUGUUCCUGAGGUGGAAUAUGAAUGGCUCCCGGAAUUUUGCUCGCAUUGUCAAAUUCUUGGCCACUUGGUGGUGAAUUGUUGUUGGUUGCAUCCGGAAAAAGAUUUGAACAAAGACAACGAUAAUACUAGGAAGGUACAUGACAAAGGAAAGAAGAUUAUCACGUAGCAGAAACUGCAAACCAAAGUAUGGCAGCCAUAUGAUAGUCCUCAUGGCAUUGAGUCUUCUUUAGCUUUUGCAAAACAUGCUUCUGACAUUACGGCACCGGUUACAACGACUCAUUAGCCACAUGAACAACACGUCUCCCCCACGGUUGUUGCCACCGUUGACACAUAUGUUGCACAAUCAGAAACCUGUACAGAAGCGCUGCCCCUUGAUUCAAGCAAACAUGCACAUAGUGACAAGUCUGCCUUCACCUAUCAUUUGGCUCUUGAGAAUAUUCCUAAUGAUGUUAUUCGGUCCAAUGAUGUAGAGCGUACAUCAAUUUCAGACCCGCUGUUGCAGCUCUAACAUGUUCUUGUCCCCUUACGGUCGACGUUCAACAACUUGAGGAGGGGAUUGCGCAAGUGGAUUCAUGUGCCUUGGUAGUUGCGAAUGCAGGUAACUCUCCUGCCAUUCAGUCGUACCCUUUUGCUACUGUUAUCCCGUAUCAAUGUCCUAUAAUUACCAAAGACUUGGAGGUCAUUCAUCACGCUAGUUUAUAAAGAUGUUCAUGAGGAGGGGUUUACUGUUGUUGUUUCCAAGAGCAUCCGACAGAAGCAAAAAGGUUAUCAUACCAGCUCCAAGGGUCCGUUACCAAACUCAUCUCAAUGAAGAUUUUAUUUUGGAAUAUUCGAGGUAUAGCUAAUUCGAAUUCUCGUAUUACUCAUGAGCCUAUUCUCAUAUUUAUUGUUGAACCAAUGAUCUCUAAGCUAGCUAGUCACGGUCACAUGGUUACAAACACAAUAUGGUGGGACAAUAUGCCCGAGUUUGUUCGGGGGAUUUCUUUAGGGAUCGACUGGGGUUACCUAAUUUUCGUUUUCCGUAAUUUUCGCUUUCUAUCAAGGGUUUGGUUUGGUCCCUCUCUUGUACAUACUUUUCCCGUUUUUCUAUAUAUAUAAUAUCCAUGCUAUACAUAAAGAAAACACUCCCUUUCAGUUCUUUUGGUUGAAUUUUUCUUUCCAAAAAUGCCCUCAAUUUUCAAUAUAUGUAACUAAUAGAUAAGAAUAAAUUUAAAUAUUAAAAAAAAUAUAACUAACACAAUAUAAUUAUAUAUAUGUCUUGUUUUAAUUUUCCUUUAUCAAUUAAGAAGUGUAACUAACUAGAUGAGUAUAUUUAUACAUUUCUUUUCAUUAUCCCAAUUAUACCCUUAAACAACUUUUUAUAUAAUAAAGAUUAUUGUUGGUGUCGCUAAAAAAAGGUAUCCCGAUUUUUUUUUGUUAUAUUUCUUGUGUCAUUGAAAUAAAUAAUCUUAGUUAGUUUGAUUUGUUAUAGCUUAAAGCAACAAAUAUUUAUAUUUUUAGUUUUAAUCAAAAUCAAAAUUUCAUAAAAAAAAAACAAUGUUCAUAAUUUUUAAAUGUUAAUGCAAUAAAAAGAGCGAAAAGACGGACACGUAGUUCCCUGAAGUCCCGACCUAAUCGAGAUGUCCAGCAGCUCCUUGAAGUCUUCAUCAUUCUUGAUUCAGUAAAAAAAAAAAAAACAAUAAAUAUCCUAAAAACACAUGUAGAUAAACAAAUACAUAUGUUUCUUUCUAAGUACAUUCAUCAUUGUUUAUAAAAAUACAAACCUUGCAAGCCUUAUAAAGAAAAGGAGAUUAAAUACAAAUCCUAAGAUCCAUUAAAAGAUAUGCUUAAACAUAAAACCAACGAUCAAUGCUUUUUAUGGUGGUCCUCCGGUGGCUUCACAAUAAGAAUAGGUGCUUUUGCAUGAUGUGCACAAUAGUCACUUACACUUCCAAGAAAUGCUCUGCACCAAAAUGAAACCAAAAUCAAUACCAAAUUUGUUAGUACUUCAAUUUGGACCAACAAUUUUCUAUUAUAUAUUAGAAAGAAUGGAUAGAAAAUAUAGCAAUUGCAAUGUAUUUUAUAAAACACUAACCUUUUGAGUGUGCCCAGGCCACGGCUACCCAUGAUUAAGAGAUCAACUUGCAUUUGUUCUGAAGCCUGACAAAUCAUUUCCCUUGGGUCUCCAUUGAGAAUUACACUUUCUGCUUUGACCUAUAAUUCCAUUAAUGAACAUUUUCACCAGAUUUGGCUAGAAAAAUCAUUUUUCCUUGGUCUUCAUAAAGAAGAGUAUAUGUGUGGAGCAACUCUUGUACCCCAAAUAAAAUUUAUUUGGUCAAAUACACAAAUGAUAAAAAUUAAAAGAUAAAUGAUAUUGAAUGAUAUAACUAAAUUAUUUCUCGUUUAUUAAUUUUUUUAUUUAUGUUUUGUGCCCAAAUGUUUUUUAUUUUUUUUUUAUUUUUUUUAUUUUUUUACAAAUAUUAUUUUUUAUUAUGAAUUGUGUUUAGCCAAGUAUUUCUCAUUUUCUCCUAAAAAAAAAUAUUUCUCAUAUUGCCUUUGGUGGGUUCACUUCCCAACAGGAGUGGAUCCUCACCGGUGGAGACCCCUCAUGUUUUUGUAUUGAGAUUCUCUCCAAUGAAAAUUGUGUUGAAUUUUCUGAACUGUCUCAAAUUUUCUUAAGUAGAAUCUCAACCAUCAAAUAUGAGAGAGAAAAUGAGAAUUAAAUUAUAAUGAAAAUUUGGUUGUUGUAUUUUAAUGGUGGAGAUUGAAAAUGGAGAAAACUUAAGAAAAUCCAAAUCCCCUGUUUGUUGCCGUGCCUAACUAUCCACCUUUAAUUACACUGUCUCCCUUUUUUCUUUUUUGGUCAGGUAGCCUAGUGGCUAGAGUUCACUUUAUAAGGUAAAUAAAUGGGGUGUCCAGGGUUCGAACCCCGACCCCUGCAUAUAAUAAUGCAUUGUCCUACCAACUGAACUAUGCUCACGGGACACACUGUCUCCCUUUUAAUAGAGAGUUUGGAUUACAUAUGAGAGAGAGAAAAAGUUGGAGACAAUCUCCUCCCUUCCCAAGUGCGAUGAAUCAGUUAACUAGAAACAAAGAAAAUAACUAAUAAAAACAAAUAAAAGAACAAGGUUGCUUUGCUUGUGUAUUUAGGGAGGGAUGUAAUGCAACUAGAAAAAUAAUCAAAUGUUUUCAAUUUCGGAAAACUUGAUGGGGUGGGUGGCUGUGAUUUUCGAAAGGGUUAAAAUUGAUAUUUUCAAUAGUUUGUUGAGAUAAGGGUAUAGGGUAAAUUUUAUUCUAUCACUUAGCUAUUUUACUAGUAAUUUUCGUCUAUUUUGAGAUUGUUUUGAUAUAACCAUUUUGUGGAAGUUUUACUUUGUUGUUUGAUUUGAUUUUUGCAAUGGGUGAUGAUUGUUAUUCUCUACCGUUUUAUAAAAAAUCUAUUGUGUACUCAUUAUUUUACAUAGUCAAAGGUUUAAUUGGAUUAGGUCUCGUAGUUUUUAUUGUUUGGGAAAUGUUGAUGAGUAUUCGAGAGAUGGACACUCUUCAAAGACCUUUAAUAGUAGAUUUUUAUGAAAAUUCGUGUAUUUUAUUAAUUAGAAUUUGUAACAUUUAACUAAAGAAUAAUUUCUAAAUUUAAAAUUCUUAAAAAGUGACAUGAGACAUUCGUUAACAAAACCCUUAUGUUAAAAUCCAAACUCAAUUUCUUAAGCAACUCAAAACAUAUGAACCACUUGAAGUGAUCCAUUUAAUUUUAUUUCAAUUGUAUUGAAUUAAGUGAUAUUAAAUAUUUUUAAGAUAAUGACAUUAAAUAAGAUAAAUAAAGGGAAAAUAAUUUUUAUUGUAUUCGAGUAGAGGAAAGCGAAAUUUGGACACUUACCUGCUUAUCCUUGCACAUUUGCAAAGCCCGGGAAAGAAUAACUGCUGAUCUUUCUUGCUGGCCUUUCUUCACUGAAUCCACAACCACAGAUGCUGGAUAAAAAGCUGUUGAAGUGAUAAAAUAUUGAGGAUAGAAUUAGACAUAAAUUUUAUUUGUUCAGUCUCAAAAUUUCAUUUCUCUAGUUUUAUAAUAGUUCUAUAAUGAUAGAUAUUAAAAGAAAAUGUCCAAAAGUCUCAAUUCAACACGCAAAAAUAUCAAAAUUGCUUAGUCGGACAAUGUGAUCCAGAGUCAGAACCCUGACUCCUCCACUUAUGCACGUGGUCAUUUCGUCUAUCUUCCAAAGAAAGAUACUCAAAGGAGAUAAGGAGAAAGUAAAAGAUGUAGUACUAACCAGCACCACCUGGUCCAAUAGGGUGCACAUAAUUGUGGAAAAUGGGUUCAACAUGAACAAGAAACACCAUUCCCUCAUUUUCAGAUGAUGUUCCUUCCAUGGUAGUCAUAACGUUGAAGAGAUUAUCAAGGGCCCACUUAAGGGCAUAAAAGCUUCCAUCACUUUCAUCUAUUGCCACCAUAACCUUCAUCUUCAUCCUUCUCUCUUCUGCACCUUCCCUCCCCUCAUGAAUAGCUCUACCUAUUUCUUCCAUCACCCCUUCUUUUGCUAGCUAGAAUAGAAAAAGAGAGAUAAAAUGGUGUAAUUUAAAGUGAGUGUGAAUGAAAAAUAUCCAAACCGGUUUCAGAAAGUUGACAAUAAUUUUUUCGUAAUUUAAAAACUACUUUAUUGAAAUUUUUGUUUUCUUUUAAAUAUUUAUUUCAAACAUAUCUUAAAGAUCUUUGUCUUUUUCGGUGGUCACUUUAAUUAAUUGAGCUAGGGUUGAUACUUGGCAGUACGAGCUAUAACAUUCUUGCAUGACAAGUGAAUACGUGUAAGCCUCGCAUGUAUAUUACCCAAUGGCUUCAUGCACAAAUGAACAAGGUGACAACUAGGGUACCCAUGGAAGAAUGGUGGGUAAUUUACCCUGAUCAAUACACAUUAGCCACAUAAGCACAUUUUUAAGUGGUGUCCAUGAACUAUCUUGACCCCACCAACAAAUUGCUCAUUUUCAUUGGUUGGUGGGUAAAUUACCCACCAUUCUUCAAAGGUAAUCAAGAAAAAACCAAUGAACAAAUAUAAAUUAUUUAGUGCAUAGAUACGGUGCGGAUCCUGGACCCUAGGUUAGUGGAUGCAAAUUUUUUAACUUCAUCGAUUAUUAUUUUAUAUAAAUAAAAAUGUUAAAAUAUAUACAUCAAGUUUUUGUAGAUUAAUUGUUUAACUUCAUAUUUUACCGUUUAUGUAAUUUACUAUCUUCGUCCUUAAAUAUAGGACCUUUAUAACUAAAUCACAUCAAUUAAAAAAAUUGGUGGUAAUAUUAAAUUUGUUUGUAAUUAGUAUUGUUUUUAUAAUUUUAUUCUUUAAAUGAAAGAAAGUUAAUUUUUUUUUUGGUCUAAUAGCUUAAUGGCUAGAGCUCACAUAAUUAAUUGUAGAGAAGUGGGGUGUUCGAAGUUCGAACCCCGACCCCUAGAUAAAUUAUACAAUGUCCCUACCAACUGAGCUAAGCUCACGGGGAUGAAAGAAAGUUAGUUUAUGUUUGAAACAUAUAGGAUUUAUUGUCAUUGAAUAAAAAGAUGUAAAAUACUUCCACAUAUCCUUUUCAGACGAAACAAACAAAAGACAUAAAUCAUCAAGACCAAAAAAAUACAUUGAAAAUAAUUAUUUUCUUUUAAUAUACCUCUACAUUUAAUUUUUUUUCAUGAAUACCCCUAAAUUAAUUACUCUUGAUUCUACCAACUUUCUUAUUUUUUAAUAUUCUCUCAUAUAAUAAAUAAGGGCACAAAUGAAAUUUAACUUCAAACACAUUUGAAAAUUGGUCAAUGUUUAUUAUAAUAUGGACUAACAAAAUUUUCACUUUUGUUUCUAAUAAAAUGGAUCAGAGGGAGUAAUUUAAUACAAAAUGAGUCUUAUAAAUAGAGACAAUUUGUUUUUAUCAAGAUGAUCUUAUAAUUAAGAAUAAUGGUAGUACUAAAUUUACAAUAUUGUCAUUUUUUACCCAAUCAAAUAAUUUUUACCUAAUAGCAAACUGCGGGGUGCUCGUAGCAACUAUGACUUGUUCAAACGAACAAUAACGUCUCUUUUCCCAUGUUCCCGCAAAUAACUCAUCGACGAUUACACUUCUUACGAUUUCGUAAUCGUCGGACACACGUGUGCCAUUACAAUGGCUCUGCAUUCACCCACUUCUAUAAAUAGGAGGCUCCUCGCAGCUUCCAAGGUAGAAUCUUUUUCAUUCUCAAACCCCUAUUUUGAACCUCUAUUGACUUGAGCGACGGAGUGUCUGCAGGUACACACCCUCCAUUCGGUUCAAUGCUCACUGAAGUACAUUCACCACCACAUUAAACCAAGCACCGACAGUCACCUUCUGAUCAGGUAUGAUCAGUGGCGCCGACUGUGGGGAAUAACAAGCUAUCUCCGUUUUUUACAUACAAAAAACUAAAGCUUCUUCAUGUAAAACCAUGGCGGCCAACGGUGCUACACCACGUCUUCAUAGCCAAAUCCAACGACCUCAACGCGACGAACAAACGACUUCUCCAUCUCCUACUCAUAGCCCUCGAAGGGGAACCACUCCAACGAGUGUCCACUUAGCGGUCCCGACGCAGGAGUAGCCACUCAUUGGUCCUCAAUGACCCGAGGAGAUGGCACUCCAACGAGUUGCGGCCAGUGAUCACCUAGAAGGAGGUCACCAAGACGCUACCCUCCCAGGAGAUCCCUUCGAAGAAGAUCUCCUCCAAGGCGGAGAAGGCGUCCUUCGUCUUCAUCCUCCUCCAGUUCUGAAGACGAGCGCGAUGCCUGAGGGGGUCUUUACACAUACGACCCCUUCACUCGGCACAUCCAAGAAACUCCAAUCCCUCGCGGAUUGGAAAAGCCACCCCAGAUGGACUCAUACGAUGGAACAUCAGACAUGAAUGAGCACAUCGAGAAUAUAGAGUUUGUCCUCACGUACCGAGUAGUACAGGGAGCAGUCAAAUGCAAGCUGUUCGUCACCACGCUAAGACGAGGAGUUAUGACAUGGUUCAAGAACUUAAGGAGAAACUCCAUAGAUUCAUGGGGUGACCUCUGUCACGAAUUCACCACUCACUUCACGGCUUCAAGGACCCAGCCCAAAACAAUGGCAUUCCUUGAGGCCAUAGUGCAAGGGAAGAGCGAGCCUCUCCGAGAUUACAUCGAGAGGUUCAACAAAGAAGCUGUCCAAGUCCGUGGCACUGAUGAGAACAUGAAGUAGUAUCUCAUCACGUGUGGUCUGCGUGAAGACAUGGACGUGAAAAAGGCUGUCUGUCUCGAUCUCCCGGAGACUUACAAUCAACUCCUGGCGAUCUUCAAAACGUACAUCAGGUAUGAGGAGGAAGUCUACGCGGAGAGCCUCAACAAACCCAGGAAGGAGGAGCCUGCUGCUGAAUCCUCCAAAAAGCCCUUCUAUGACAAGAAAAAGGAAGGAAAACCUGCUCGUGAAGGCAAAGGACUCGUUGGUCGCUUCAUGGAAUAUACUCCCCUGGCAUUACAGGGGUGGCCCUGAAGGUGGGCUUGAGGGGCGGCAGCCCAGGGCACCAUUUUUUUAGGGUCACCAAAAUUAACAUUUUUACUUAGUAGUUAGUAAUAUAUAUUUCUUUUUAAUCUGCUUUGAUUAAUUCUAUUUAAAAAUAUUUUUAGAUAACUUUGAUUAUAAAUGAAUAUUUUCAGUAACGACUAUUUGAUGCGUUGGCACAUCUACAACGUCUCUUUCAUACCUCUAUAUAAAAGAAUGAAGACUUGAAGAUUAGCAUAUACUCUACAACAUUUGAACUGUUCCAUAACUUUGUUGAAAUUGUUGUGCAUCAAACACUUAGAAUUUCUUAACAACUUUCAUAUGUUAAAACUUCUAGAGUAUUAAGAGUCUGACUUGUUUUGUAUUGUGAUCACCACUGAUUGUAUGUGUAUCAAGUGUUCUAACCAAACUUAUUACCAUUGUGUUAAUUUGACAAACACUUUGAGUGCAAAGUAUGAAACUUAUUACCAUUGUGUUAAUUUGACACCAUUCAAAACCACAUUGUACUUAAAAAUCAUUCAAACAACAUUCACAACAACUACAUUCAUAAAUAACAUCAUAAUCUACACAUGCAAUCUACCAAAAGUUCAAUUUCAACAUGAACCCUAACCACAUGCAAUCUACUAAAAUUAACAAAAAUAAACCUACAAAAACUAACAUUAUCAUUAAAAAUGGUCAAAAUAGAAUCGGAGUAAUUGGAGAGGUUUAGUGAUAAUUUGUGUAACUGAUGCUUUUGUUCUACAAUUUCUGUAUAUGUUCAGGAUGUAUCGACAGUUAACUGCCGAUACAUCCUGAACAUAUACAAAAAUUGCAGAACAAAAGUGAUGGAACCUGCGGCAAUUAACUGCUGAAGUAAACUUCAAUGGUUAACUAACAAUAGAACUAACCGGCGGUAGUUAACUACUGAAGAGUUAAACCGGUAAUUUCUAGGUUUUCUUAGUCUUCCUUAAAGUGGGAACAACAAUUUUCUUACUCUAUUAUUGAACACUUUAUUUAAAAAAAACAACUCUUCGUAGUUUAGGUUGCUGAAUUUACAUAUUUUUAAAUUAUGUUUAUUUAUCUUUCUUUUAAAAAAUUUUAAAUUAAAAAAUAAGAAAUUAUUAUUAAUAAUGGUGACACUAAAAAUCGUUUUACAAUUGUUUCAGGUAGAAUAUGCUAUAUUCUUUCAAACAACUUAUAGGGUUAAAUAAAUUUUGUCAUCUAUAUAGGGUUACAUUCUACCCGAAACAUACUAGUUAAUUUAUAGAUGAAAAAACUUAUUUAACCCUAUAAAAUAUCUUCACCAAUAUUUUUUAAAGGCAUCCUCACCAAUAUUUAUAUUAUAAUAUAGAUUAAAUGUAUUAUUAUUUACUUAUUCUUAUAGUACAUACUAGUUAAACAAUUUUUUAAUGUCUCAUUCAUUUAAAAUAAUUUACAUGAAAAUAGAAAAUUAUAAUAACCAAAAAUAAUCUAAGCUUAAAAUCGUUCUUGAAUUUAAAAAAGAAAUAGCUAUUACUAAACAACUCUUAACUUCUUUUAUAAAGCUCUUAUUUUUACUUUAACUUUACAAGAGCUUUUAAGGAUAAAAAAUAGUUGGCCAAACACACCCUUAGCCUUCUUAAAUAAAAGGAGCUUAAACGAUACAACAAACCCAAGAUUAUUCAAUUAGAAAUAAUAAAACUAUAAUCAAACUUAACAAAUCCAAGAUUAUUUCAGACUUAGCCAUCCCAGAAGAUAUGCUUAAACAUAAUAAAACUAUGAUCAAUGCUUUUUAUGGUGGUCCUCUGGUGGCUUCACAAUGAGAAUAGGUGCUUUUGCAUGAUGUGCACAAUAGUCACUUACACUUCCAAGAAAUGCUCUGCCACCAAAUGUAAAAAAUAUUAGAACAAUCAACCAUGCAUAAUUGAAACCAAAAUUAUUAGCAAGCUUAUUACUUUAAUUUCUUAUAAAUACUAAUUCAUAGAAAACACUUACCUUUUGAGUUUGCCAAGGCCACGACUACCCAUGAUUAAGAGAUCAACUUGCAUUUUCUCUGUAGCCUCACAAAUCAUUUCUCUUGCAUCUCCAUUAAGAAUCACACUUUCUGCUUUAACCUGCAUUUUCAUUAAUGCAUACUUUCAUUGGAUUUAUGUAGCUUCUACCGAUUUUUUAAAGCAUCGUCACUAAACCAAAGUAAUUUUAAAGCAUCAUAACCCUAAUCACUAAACCAAAGUUACCUGCUUAUCCUUGCACAUUUGCAAAGCCUGUGAGGCAAUAGCUGCAGAUUUUUCUUGCUGGGCUUUCUUCAAAGAAUCCCCAACUUCAGGUAUUGAUGGAUAAAAAGCUGUUGAAAGGACAAAGUAUCACACAAGAAAAUUGGACAAUAUUAAAAGCCAACCUUACAAAGUUACAUCAUUUGUAAUAACUAUGAGAGAAUUAAACAUGGAAAAAAAUUAAGAGUCAUGAAAUUUAUUUUAUUCAGUCUCAAAAUUUCAUUGUUCUAGUAAAGUAUAUAGUGAUAUAUACUAACCAACACCAGCUGGUCCCAUAGGUAUAGGGUAUGCAUAAGUGUGAAAAUUUGGCUCAACAUGAACAAGAAACACUAUCCCCUCCUCAUUUUCAGAUGUUGUUCCAUUCAUAGUAUCAGUAGCCAUAAUGUUGAAGAGGUUAUCAAGGGCCCACUUAAGAGCAUACAAGCUUCCAUCACUCUCAUCUAUUGCCACCAUCACCUUCAUCUUCAUUCUCCUUUCUUCUGCUAGAAUAGAAAUGAGAGAUGCAAAAUGGCGUUUUAUAAUAAGUGCAAAACAAUAUAAAGAUUUUUUUUUUUUUUAAAUAAAUCUAUUUCUAUUGAAAUGGAAGUUUAAAGUUUUCUUCUUUUCUUUAUAAGUGGACACUUUUAUUGAGCUAGGCUUGAUGAUACUUGGCAGAACUAGCUAUACCAUGCUUGCAUGACUAGUAAAUACGUGUAAGCCUAUGUGUUACCCAAUGAUGCACUAAAGAAAAGAUGUUAAUUAUUUAAAAAAAUAAUAAUAACAAUAUAGAUUUAAGUUCAAUGCCUAUCUUUAUUUUUUUGGUUACAAUUCAAUGCUUAUAUAGUAAUAGAAGCAUUUAUAUAUUUUUGACAUAAAUUGAAAUAUAUAGUUUUUCACAUCUUUGGUUUCGUAAAAAAAAAAAAUUCCCCACUUCUUAAUAUGUUGUGUGUAUGAAUUUUGUCGCUAAGUAUUUAGAACCAAAGAAAAAUUGUGUUUAAUAGUUUAUGCGGACAUGUAAGGGUAAAUAUUGGUUUCAUUUAUCUAAUCAAAGUACAAGAGAAGUUUAUCUAUGUAAACCAUCAACAAAGAGUGUAAAAGACCGGAUAACUUGCGUUGCAAGUUAUCUUAUGAACAGAGUCUAAAACUAACUAAAACAAUGCAAUCAACUCUAAACACCUUGAAAGAUACCAAGUAACUCCUAACGAUCAAAGUUCAAACCAUCAAUCACCCUUGGUUUUGCUCUAAUCUUGUAGAAAGUCUCGAGUUUCAAUGGCUUUCUCAUAAUAUCUGCAACUUGAUCAAUAGAGAUGUCGUGCACUAGCUAAAUUACUCCUUCUUUCCCUAAGGAAAUGGUACCUCACAUCAAUGUGUUUGAAUCUGCUAUGCAUAACUCGAUUCUUAAACAACUCAAUUGAGGAACUGUUGUCAUAAUACGCAAUUGUGAAAUUCUCUUGAGCUUCCUUCAGACACAUCAAAAUUCUUCACAACCAAAUUGCUUAACAUUAGCAAGAAUCUGCUGCCACAAACUAAAACUUCUGCAGUGGACAAAGUCACAAUUGACUGCUUCUUAAAUGACCAUGAUAUUGCUCCAUUGCCUAUAAUAAACACAUAACUUGAUGUACUCUUUCUGUCAUCUAUAUCUCCAGCAUAAUCAAAGUUUGACCAUCAUGUUAAGCUGAUAAAAUAAUCGCUUUUCUACAUAAUCCCAAAGUUCAUUGUUCCUUUAAGAUAUCUCAAGAUUCUCUUAGUUGAUGCCAAGUGAAUUUUUGUAGGUCUUUCCAUAUAUCUAGCCUCAAGACAUACAUAAUAAGUGAGAUCAAGUCUAGUAGCAAGUAGGUACAUCAAGCAUUCAACCAUCUAUUUGUACUUAGUCGCAUCCAUAGUUUUCCCGGUUUCAUCCUUCUUCAACUUGCUUCCAGUGACUAUGAGACUACACACCAUAUCACAAUUUUCCAUGCCAAAUCUUGUUAGUAUUUAACCAACAUAUUUGCUUUGAUUGAUGAAAAUACCUUGAUCAUUCUGCUUAACUUCUCCAAGAAAGUACCUCAUUUUUCCUAAAUAAUUUGUUUAUUGCUAUGAUUAUGAUGAAAAGCACUCUUGACAUCUAAUUGAUAUGCAUCAAUGGAAACCUCGUUUGUCUAGUUCUUGACUAGAGCACUCUAGUUCCAUCCCUUAGUUUGUUCAAAUAUGUCAUCUCUUUUUAUCACUGUUUUCUUGCUUUUAGUAUCAUAGAGUUUGUAAGCUUUGGAUUCCUCACUUAAACCAUAUUCAUCGGAGUUCUAUUAUUUAUUUCAUACAGAACAUUUUGUUGUGGUGUGUAAGUUGUGGUGAGUUGUCUCUUGAUUCCAUUGGAACUACGAAAUUCAUUGAAUGUUGAUGAAGUCUAUUCUCUCCAUAUCUGAUCUUAGACACUUGAUAACAUAUCCAGAAACCUUUUCAACAAGACUUUUAAAGUUUUUAAAUGCCUGAAAAGCAUUUGACUUCUCUUUCAAGAUGUAUAUCUAAGUUUUCCUGGUCCAAUCAUCAACGAAAAUCAUGAAGUAUCCGCUUCCUGCAUUUGAACUUGGUUUGAUAUGGCCACAUACAUCUAAAUGAAUUAAUUAUCAUCUCUCAGUAGCUCUUCAUUUUGACCUUUCUCACACCCCCUUCAUCCUGAGCGCCCUCUUCCUCACCCAUAUCCUAUUCCUGCAUUUGAGAAUUUCAAAGCUUGUUCACUAUCAGUUUAUUGAUUAUGAGAGUUCAUGUAAUGUUCCUGCACAAGCAAGUUGCUUUGCAAUUCAUCAAUGGGGAAAGUAGUCACAUCAUUUGAUUCUUCAAUGGAACACACCACACAAUUGAACUUGCUUGUAAUGAUCUUAAAAUCUUCUCAACCACCAAGAUUUGUUCCAUUCUUUCCCCAUGAGCAGUGAUACGAUUUUCAAUAGCCAUAGUUCUUGCAAAGUAUUUAUUAAUGGAUUCACCCUCCCUCAUUGCAAGAGCCUCGAAUUUCGUGCGCAAAGCUUGCAAUUGAGCACGCUUCACCUCUGUGGAUCCUUGAAAAAGAUAGUUAUUUACCUAAAGAUCACAAAGUUUAUUAUCCUUUGCAGCUUUUUCUUAUUCUGGUGUUGGAUUUGUAGGAGCAAUGGUGACACAAUUCUCAAUCAAACUCUUGUAUUCAUUGGAGAGAAGCAGACUUUCAAUCAACAUAGCCCAAUGAUCAUAAAAGCCAUCAAACUUUGGAAUAGAAGGAUGCACGUAAUUCGUGGAUUCUUGCAUAUAAAAGAGCAAGGGAGUUGAUCAAUCUUGGUCAAGGAUGAAGGAAAAUGAGUUGCAGAAGAACAAUGGAAGAACAAAGAAGAAAGAUGAAGGUUGGUUAAGAAACAAAUCAAUCUAACUAACUCAUAACUGAAUUUGCCGCCAAAAGUUGCACUUUUCAAGCUCUAGUUACAAUGCCCAAUGAAGGCCUCUGAUACCACUUGUAAGGUGAAAUAUUGGUUUCAUUCAAAUAAUCAAAGUACAAGGAAUGUUUAUUUAUAGUAAAGCAUCAACAAGGAAUGUAAAACAAAGUCUAAAACUAACUAAAGCAAUGCAAUAAACUCUAAACACCUUAAAAGAGACUAAGUGACUCCUAACAUGUAUGUUAUUUUGCAAACAUCUUUUAAAAAUACUAUCAUAUACUUAAUUUUAUUGGAUGUUAUUGUAAAACUAAUUUUCACCAGCAAUGUAGUUCUUUUUUCUCAUAUAAAUUAAGAUAAUAAAAUAAAGCAAUAUGUUCAUUUGCAUGAAGUGAUAGUUCCAAAUUUCUUCAACAUUGUGCACUAAAAAAGCAAGAGUAAGUGACACUGUGACAGUCUUACGUUCUACUUCUAAGAGUAGAUGGCAAGGUUCAAAUUUGAAGAAAGACCACCCACCAGGCACAACCCCUCAAUCAAGGGGCUAUUAUGAAAAUCUUAUUGCCGUCUGAGCCAUUGCUAUCUGCACCCUUCUACCCGUCACUAUCAACACAAGAAAAAUUAACUUGCUGCAUCCCUUUAAUUCGGCCCCAUCUUAAUUUGAUCCAUUGGGCUCAUACAUCAUUUCCACCCUAUCUCACUCUUGGACCGUUUAUUUUCACGGUAAGAAUGAUGAAAAGAAUUCUGCUCUUCUCCCAGCACAUUUCGCUCGCGCCCUGCAGUCAAGCCAAAUAUACCCUUGCACACCUUAAGUAACGUUGCGCUACUUAACUCACGCAGUGUGAGUUAAGUCACGCAGUGUUACUGUUUUUGUACAAAACCCAUCAGUCCAAACUCCAAGCACCAUUUUCUUUCCCUCCACCUUCAAAAACCCAAAAAGUGCAAUUUUUUGGGUCAAAACCCUCAUCCCAAAUCAUUGCAAAUCGUCAGGAAGCAAGUUUCUACGUUCAUCAAGCACCAAAUAUCAGGUAUUGUAUCAUCAAAACUCAUCUCAUUUUGCUGGUUUUUGUGCUUGGUUCGUCUGGUUUUCGUAUGCAAUAGGGCUAGGUGCGCAAGUUAACUUGCGCAAGUGGUAAAGGCUGCGUGACUUAAGUGACGCAGGAGAUAAUGUGUUGCGUGACUUAAGUCACGCCACUUUGCAGUCCUGUUUUUUGAUUUUUUUGCGCCACUUUUGUUCUUGGUUAGCUUGUUCCACAAGUAAUUUAUUUAUUCUUCCUUUGUAAAUUUUUUAUUCAAUAGAUAUAUAGUGAGAUGGUUGACAAUGUCGCGAACACAAAUACAAAAAAAUCAAGAUGAUGAGAGAGUUGGAGGGUUAUGUAUCUAGACGUGCAUUGAAAUUUAUCUAUGAUGAAUUGAAACGCUCCAAGACAUUCGACUUUGGUGAGGAAGAUUGUGGUUGUGUGCAAAAAACAUCGUACGGGUUACCUUGUGCGUGUGUUAUUGCCAUGAAGAGCAAGCAAAAAUUGCCUCUUGUCUUUGAUGCUAUAUACCCUCAUUGGAAACAUUUGUGUGUACAAGGAGAAAAGAUUGAUGAUGAUUUUUCCGUGAUGGAGGAGUGGAAUGACAUUCAAGAACUUCUCAAGAAAAGCCCUUACAAUAUGAAACUCCACAUCAAAGAGAUGAUGCAUCAAAUAGCAUUUCCGGAAACCACAAUUUUGUCUCCGCCUUUCAAAAAGGCGGUAACCAAGGGAGCACAUAAAAGGAAGAGGACUACACUCAAAGUGUCAUCAUCGGGUAGAAUCCCCUCUAGGUGGGAGACUAUUGACUCUCAAAAUCCGGAUAGUCAACCUUCACAGCCCAAGAGGUCACUUCCAAAGAGGAAAGAUGCAUGCCUUGGCACUUAUGUAAUUUGUAUAUUUGUGGCCAAUAUGUAACUAAUAUUAUAUAUAUUAAAUGAAAUGAAUUAUUUUUUUUGAUGGCCGGUUAUAUCACACCAAUUAUUGCUCGCAUUACUUACUUUGUCAAUAAUUAUUCAACUACUUAUUUUAUCUCAUUUCUCUCAUAUUUGUUUUUCAUUAUAUUUUUGUGAAGUGAAACAUGUCUCAAGAUGCACAAGAUCCGGUUAAACUUGAAGUUCAUUAUGUAGAUGUGAAAAAAAGGGUUUGGUUGAAUGUAAACCCCACAGACAAGUUGGACGAGUUGAAGACAAAACUUGACGCCUUCUUUAUCCAAAUUGGUUCAAAUCAUAGAACACAUUGUCAUAGUAAAUGUGCCAGGCCUGGACUUGGGGGAGGAUAAGGAAGAGGACUUCUGGAAGACCGUGUAUUAUCCACAACUUCUCAAAGAUGAUAGCGACGUUGAUUUCAUGUUUAGGGUAAUGGUUGAGAAUAACACUUUGUAUCUUUUUGUCCGAUCCGUUGAAGUGUAAUCAUUAUUUAAGUGUAAUAGUGUAAUGUUUUUCGAAUUUGUGUCCGUAUUGUUGAAUUUUAAUAAAUUUUUGUUUAUGUAAUUUGACCGUUUAUGUGAGAUUAUGUAAUUUUAUAAAUUUAUGGACAAAUUUGCGUAAUUUGGAUCGCUUACGUGUCAUUAAGUGUGUUUAAGUGAUUACGUGUCAUUACCGGCGAAUUUGUGUAAUUUGGACCGUUUUGGAUCGUUAUGUGUGAUUAUGUGAUUGUGAAAAAAAUGAUGUUUUUGUGUAAUUUUGAUCGAUUGUGUCGUAUUAUCCAAUAAUCUUGUUAUACAGGAAUAAUUCAGUUCAAUUACGAGCAUCUUAAGGUUACGGACACAAUUUGCAUUCAAUGCAUAUCAGUACAACAUUUAUUGUUGUACUGAUAUAUAAGUAGAGUGUGAGUUAAAUCGCGCAUGUGUUAACACUAUGCGUGAGUUAACUGGCGCAUAGUUUUACAGUUACGUUAGUUAACAAACGCAAGGGUAUAUUUGGAACGGUUGCAGGGCGCAAGCAAAAUGUGCAGGGUGAAGAGCAGAAUUCUGAUGAAAAUUGCUCUUGUCACUUUAAGAAUUGAUCAUUUACAUCUCCACAAUACGUUAAUAUCCCCAACAAAAAUUAACUGCCGCUCACUAUCAACGAUAGUAACUGCCGUUAAGUUUUGGUAUGCAGACACCAUUCUUGAUAGAAUUGUUGUUUUUUAGGGACAUAAACCUAAACAUGCACUUUUUUUCAUUUCCAAUCAUUCACUACCACUACAUUCAUUCACAUAUAAUAAAAAAAAUUAAUUCAUUUACAUGAAACAAUUAACUAUUGUUGACGGUAUUACCUUAAUUUUGGGGUGCGGUCCUAAAACAUACACCCUCCGGUCACUAAUAUAAGCAAAAAUUCAUUUUUUAGAUACAUUCAAUUAAUGAUGUAUGUGGUUUAUUUAUUUAGAGCUCCGGUAGGGUUUCUUCUUGUUCAUGGAUUUCACUUUCACGUCUCCACGGCCAGCGGCCAUGUCUUCGAAACCGCCUGACCCUCCCGACAAGAGUGGUGACAAGGGAAUGCUUGAUGCAAGAGAUAAAAAUGGAUCAAAACAGCCCAUGCUCAUAUCCUUCCGAGACAAGGUCUUAGGAUCGCAACCUACUGUUAUAAAGGAAAGAGUUGAUCUGGUGGCGAAGAAACUUGCACAGGUCGAACAUAUAAAGGGAAAUAGAUUGCUCCCAAUGCUUCAUGUUCAAGAUUCAGUGAUGGAGGAACUCAAUCUUCCGUAUAAAGGGUGUUUGAUCGUGAAACUUCUCGGAAAAUCGAUUGGAUACAACAUGAUGAAGACAAGACUUGAAAGGGUUUGGAAACUUACUGGAGGAUUUGAUCUCAUGGAGGUGGAAAAUUCGUUUUUCAUGGUAAUAUUUGAUGAGGAGGCAGACAAAAACAAGGUGAUAAAUGGUGGUCCGUGGAUGAUCUUCGAUCAUUAUUUGGCAUUCUGUCAAUGGUCUCCUACUUUCAAUGCAGCAACAGCCACGAUCGAUAAAACAAUGGCUUGGAUAAGAAUUCCGAGUUUGAAUUUGGUUUAUUACGACGAGAGCUUGCUAUGGGCAGUGGCAUCAAUGGUGGGAACACUGGUGAAGGUAGACAUGCAUACGUUGCAAGUAGCGAGGGGAAAGUUUGCAAGAUUAUGCGUUGAAAUUGAUCUCACAAAACCUGUUGUGGGAAAAGUUGGAAUUAACGGAGAGUGGUAUCACGUUCAGUAUGAGGGAUUGCAUGUUAUUUGCACUCAGUGUGGUUGUUAUGGCCAUACUUUAAAGGAUUGCGCCCCCAAACACAAUCUUUAACAGUUGAACCAGAAUCAGUGGUUGUUCCGACGACCACCGUGUCGGAAGUUGCAGAAGAAACGCUUACAGACAAGAACGAUAACAACAUUAAUGUGGGUAACGGUAAAAACGAAAAAUCAGGAAUAAUGAUGGAGGAGAUUCCGUUCAAAACUGAUAUCUUGGGUAUUAAUGGUGAACCGGAUUCUUUGCAUGGUGAGUGGAUUAAAGUGGAAAGAAAAAAACGAGUCAAUAAGGUUGGUUCACGCAUUGCUGGUGCAGACAUGAAAGGUACAUCAUUUCAAAAUCUUAAGAAAAGAAUUAAUGAAUUGAAUGCUGAAAAAUACGAUCAUAUGCAUGAAAUAAGGAGCGGUUACAAACCCUCCCAAAUUAACUCUUCUAAUGCAAGCAUUAAAGUACGAAAAAAUAAACAAAAAAGAACUAGAAGUGAUAUUGGUACAAGAAAAAUAGGCAUAAAUAAUGGGAAACCAACUCAUGUUGCUAGUUCUAGCGGUGAUAAUUCGGCAAAAAAUAAAAGCUUGAGCGGUGUGAAUAAAAGUGGGGACAUGACAUCUUUAAUAUGGAGGACUACUAAGUCUAUUGGUGUUGAAGAUAAAGGGCCAGAUGUCAAAGCUUGUAAUAAAGUGGAUAACUCUCAGUCUAAUAGUACUAUCGUUCCAACUUUGAAAGGUGAUAGGAAUGACAAUUCAUCUAAUGGUAUUAUUGGAGAGGAAACUUCACAAAAACAUGAAUUUAACUCACAUCAAAGUGAGGAAAAUGUGCUGGCAGGUGCUAGUAACAACAAGAAAGAUGAUCAAGAGUCCAUUAGAAGGAUGAAUGAUGAGGACCAAAACGUGGGACACUCCCAUGAUACUCAAAUGCAAUUGAAUUGAUGUGGUUUUUACACGUCAAUUUCCUGUAUCCUUUUAUUUAUUUUUUAAUGAUAUUUAUUUCUUGGAAUUGUAGGGGUGCUUAAGGAUUAAAUUUCCGUAGAGCACUCAAUAAUUUUUGUCGAAAAAACAAAGUGGAUGUUGUGGCUUUGCAGGAAACUAGGUGUAGCGGCAAUGUUGCUCGGAAGGCAAUCAAGAAACUUGGUUUUAAGAAUUAUAUUGUUUCUAAAGCGCAAGGAUUCUCUGGUGGCAUUUGGUUACUUUGGAAUAGACAGGAUAUUCAAUUUGAAGUGAUUCAGAAUAAUUUUCACUUCAUCCACGUUCAAGUUAGAGAACAAGGUGUAGAUCCUUGGCUUCUUACUGUGGUCUAUGUGAGCCCUCGAGAGAAUGAAAGAGAUACAACGUGGUAUCAAUUAAGGGGACUUGCUACUAAUAUUCAUGAACCUUGGAUUAUGAUGGGGGACUUCAAUGAGAUUGCUAACCCUGAUGAGAAAAAAGGUGGAGUUCAGCCGGACCUCAGAAAAUGCCUAAAUUUUUCCAAUUGGAUGAAUGACUGUAGAUUGAUGGAGCUCACUACUAUAGGAACCAAAUUUACUUGGAGAGGCCCUAAAUGGAAUGGCCGUGACAGAGUUUUCAAAAAAUUAGAUCGUGUUCUUUGUAAUGUGGAAUGGAGAUUAAAAUAUGAUGAAGGUUUUGCUAAGGUCCUUCCUAGAGUGCAGUCAGAUCACCAUCCUAUUAUGGUUCUUUCGGAGGGGGAAUUAUCGAAUGGGGGGGAUCGCCCUUUCAGGUUCGAAGCGGCCUGGAUCACUCAUGAGGAUUUUAAUAGGAUGAUGCAUGAGAAAUGGGAUAAACGCUUUGAUUUGUUUCAUAAUAUUUCUAGCCUUACCCCCCACCUUAAAGAGUGGAACACUGAAACUUUUGGAAAUAUCUUUAGAAGGAAGAAUGAGCUUUUGGCCAGGUUAAACGGGAUUCAGAAUAGUCACAAUUAUGGGUACAGUAACUUCCUUGAGAACCUUGAGAAGGAGCUUCACGAGCAACUUGCUAUAACCCUUUACCAAGAAGAGUGACUUUGGUUCCAAAAGUCUCGUAGCAAGUGGAUUGCAGAUGGUGAUCGAAAUACUAAGUAUUAUCAUUCCAAAACAAUCAUCAGAAGGCGUAAAAAUAAAAUUUUGACUCUCCGUGAUAACUCUGGUGAUUGGAUUGAUGACCUGAAUAUCUUGUGCGGAAUUUCUAUACGGAUUUAUUUAAAGAGGAUACUCCUAGUCGUGACUCUAUUGUUUCUUGGACCACUUAUCCAAAUGUUGUGGGGGAAUAUCAUAACAAACUUAUUUCUAAUGUCCAGCUUAAUGAGUGCAAAAGAGCUUUGUUUGAUAUGGGUCCGCAUAAGGCAACUGGCGAAGAUGGUUACCCUGCUAUCUUCUUCCAACAUUGUUGGGAUAAGGUUGCUGAUUCUUUGUUUAACUUUGUCAAACAGGUUUGGGUAAAUCAUUCUCUCAUUUCUUUUAUUAAUAAUACCCUUAUUGUGAUGAUUCCUAAAAUUGAGAAACCAGAAUUUGUUUCUCAGUUUAGGCCUAUUUCAUUAUGUAAUGUUAUUUAUAAAAUUAUUUCUAAAGUGAUUGUUAACAAGAUUAAACCUUUCCUUGAUCGUAUUAUUUCUCCAUACCAGUCUAGUUUUAUUCCAGGUCGUAACAUACACCACAACAUUAUUGUGGCUCAAGAAAUGGUGCACGCCAUGUCUAAAAUGAAAGGUAAAAAAGGUUUCAUGUCUAUCAAAAUCGAUCUUGAAAAAGCUUAUGAUCGUCUUAACUGGAAUUUUGUGGAGAAAUGCUUAGAGGAGUGUUAGUUUCCCCCACAAGUCAUUCAAAUAAUUCAUCAUUGCAUUUCGUCCCCAUCGUACAAAAUCAUGUGGAAUGGUGAAAAAACUGAUACAUUUUAUCCCACUAGAGGAAUUAGGCAAGGAGACCCCCUUUCCCCUUAUCUUUUUGUCAUUUGUAUGGAUAGAUUGUCUCACAUGAUAGCUGAUCAGGUAGAAGCAAAAUAUUGGAUUCCUAUGCGCGCAGGCAGGUAUGGUCCACAAAUAUCUCAUUUACUUUUUGCUGAUGAUCUACUUCUUUUUGAAGAGGCCUCAAUUGAACAGGCUCAUUGUGUUUUGCACUGCCUUGAUAUUUUUUUGUCAAGCCUCUGGUCAAAAGAUAAAUAGAAAUAAAACUUGUGUAUAUUUCUCCAAGAAUGUUGAUACCCAACUUCGCGAGGAUAUUUUACAUCACACAGGGUUUAAUCAGGUUAAUAGAUUGGGCAUGUAUCUUGGGGCUAAUCUUGCUCCUGGAAGGAGUUUGAGAGGCAAGUUUAAUCAUAUUGUUAACAAAAUUCAGAGCAAGUUGAAUGGUUGGAAGCAACAAUGUUUAAAUUUGGCAGGUAGGAUCACUCUCGCAAAGUCUGUUAUAAGCACAAUUCCUUACUACCAUAUGCAAUAUGCUAAAAUUCCCAAGACAAUAUGUGAUGAGUUUGAUAAAAUUCAGCGGGGUUUCAUUUGGGGAGACUCUGAUCAAGGUAGGAAAGCCCACCUUAUUAGUUGGGAUGUUUGUUGCCUGCCUAAAGCUGAUGGCGGUCUUGGAUUUCGACAAACUCAUAAGAUGAAUGAAGCUUUUCUCAUGAAGAUCCUUUGGAAUUUGAUUAAAAAUCCGGAAGACCUUUGGUGUAGAGUUCUUCGCAGCAAAUAUGGACGUAAUAAUGACCUCAUUGCUAGCAUUAAUGCGCACCCUUACGAUUCUCCUCUUUGGAAAGCCUUGGUAAAUAUUUGGAAUGAUUUUAAAGGUCAUGUGGUGUGGAAUAUUGGGGAUGGUCGUAAUACUAACUUUUGGCUAGAUAAGUGGGUUCCUAACAAUGGAUCACUUAUGUCUAUAGGUAACCAGACCUACAUGGAUAUAACUCUAUCGGUUAGGGAUGUUCUUAGUCCUUCUGGAGAUUGGAACAUUGAUUUCCUCAUAAAUAACUUGCCAACUAACACUGUUAAUCAAAUUCUUGCGCUUUCAAUCCCUAAUGAUGAUGAUGGUCCAGACACUAUUGGGUGGGGUGGAACCAAUACCCACCAUUUCACAGUUCAAAGUGCUUAUUCUUUGCAACAUCAGGAUUGCCCGAUUUUGGAAGGUGACUGGAAAAGUAUUUGGAAGUGGCAUGGCCCACAUCGCAUCCAAACCUUUAUUUGGUUGGCUACGCACGAGCGCAUUCUUACAAAUUUCCAAAGGAGUAAAUGGGGUGGUGGAAUAUCUCCUAAUUGCCCGUGUUGUGGAAAUGAAGAUGAAACUGUUCUUCAUGUGCUUCGCGAUUGCAUCCACGCUACCCAGGUAUGGCUUUACAUCGUUCCAUAUGAUUUUAUAACUAAUUUCUUUUCUUUCAAUUGCAGGGAUUGGUUCUUCAAUAACCUCAUCAAGAAAGACAUUGGGACGAACACUUUAAGUUGGAAGACAACUUUCAUGACAACAUGUUGGUACUUGUGGAAGUGGAGGAAUAAAACUAUUUUUGAAGCUGAUUUUAUUAGGCCGAACAACCCAAUUUCUUUAAUUUGGAGAUUUGUCCAAAAUAUUGAAGAUUGUAACUUGGAGCAUGUUCAUAUUGGUCGAAAGUUGAAGGAAAUCAUCUAUAUAGGUUGGAAGCGGCCUCGAGAAGGUUGGAUCAAGCUUAAUAGUGAUGGUGCUUGCAAGGAUAUGGGGGUUAUUGCUGGAUGUGGCGGCCUUUUUCGUGAUUCAGACGGUAGAUGGAUCAAAGGCUACACUAAGAAGAUUGGAGCUUGUGAUGCCUUACAUGCUGAGAUGUGGGGACUAUAUUUGGGUUUGGACAUGGCUUGGAGGGAACAUUAAUCUCAUCUUAUAGUGGAAAGUGAUUCAAAGAUUUUGAUCGACAUGAUUUCUGAUAAUUUCAAGUUCAAUGGGAAUAUUCCUGUUUUAGUUUACCGUAUCCGGAAGCUGCUGAAGAUGAGUUAGAAUGUUCAACUCAACCAUACUUGGCGUGAAGGAAAUAGGAGUGCUGAUUGGCUCGCUAAUUUAAGCAUUUCUACAGAUCAUUUUAAUUUUAUUGUGUUGGAGUCUCCUCCUUGUGAGGUCAAAAGAAUCAUUUUUGAUGAUUUAUCCGGGGUUUGCAUGCCUAGGAAUGUUCGAUUAACUUCUUAAUUUUGUUUUCUUUUGGGCUUUACCUCUCUUGUAUAAAAAGAAAAAAAAGGAAUUGUCAUAGACACACACGUCUACUAAAAGAUGAGAUUUUUAGCUCCAAAAUUCACGGUAAAAGGGUAUGGUAAACUGUCAUACCCUAAUUUUUGACCAAAGAUCCCACGGACGUGCAUUCGUUUGACUCUGGUCGAUCUCAUGAUUCAGUGAAAAUUUCGGCAGAGAGGUAUUUUAAAAUACCUCAUUUUUGUUCCGAUUGCAGGCACUUUUCUCUCCUUUCAUUUAAUUAUCUAACUUCCGUCUUUUAAUUUUAAUUUUUAAGUUAGUUACUUUUUUAAUAUUUAAUAAAUGUUUAUUUUCCGUUUUUUGUCCAAUGAAGUCAAUAAGUCCGAAAAUUUCAGCAAGGGUCCAUUUUUCUUUUUUCAUUUCUUCUCCACGCCACAUGUUUAGGCAAGUUCAUAGGGUCAAAGUGUUGUUGCCAAAUCCAGCAAAUCAGUAGUAAUUUCCUUAUUCUAUUCAACCCUAAUGGUAUAAAUUGAAACCUGCAAAAAGAAAAGAAAGAAAAGGACAGAGGAGAAAACCCUAGCCGCACAAACUGUUCACACACUGACACACCAAUCAUUGGCAGCCGCACCAAUCAACUCAAAACCCUAAUUUUUCCUUUCCUCUACGGAUCAAACAAAAGAGAUGAAGAACACCACAUAGUUUUUUUUCCAGAUUUCUCAAAGAACAAACAAUCAAAAGAUCAACAACUCCCUAACAAAUUCAUACAAAAUACAAUAACACAGAUCGGAUUCAUCACUACUGUUCACCACUAAUCAUACACAGAAUCAACAUCACAAGUUCCAAAUCUAUUUUCAUAAGAAUCAAAUUCGCAUAAACCUCAAACCGUCACCAUCUUUCAAGCUCAAGAACAGAACCGGAACAAGUAGAAGAGAAGGGUUCGGAUUCGUCAAGUAAAAGAGGAAGAGGAAUCUUCCGAAGAACAAAACCUCCAGAUCGAAUCGAUCCAAAGAGGUACGGAUCCUCUUUCAUUUAUUUCGUGUUCUUCUUUGCUUAGAAGUUUAGAUCCAGACAUCUUUGUAGGUUUUGUUUCAAAAGUUUGUUAAAAAAGUUUGAAUUUAGAUCUAGAAGUUUUGAUUGUUUGUUUGUAAAAACUAAGUGAAUAUUUGAAAAGCGGAGAAAAAAGGAUAUCUGGAAACGUAAAAAAAAAUGAAAACGGAGAGGUUUCACUUUUCCGGUGUGGCGGCGCCGCCCUGUUGGGCCGGCAAACCACCGCGCCGGAGCGGCGAAGCUCGCCGGAGAAGAUGAAGAUCAUCUUCUCUUUUUUCCAGAAUUUUGAGAAAAAGAGAGAGUUUCACGUGAGAAGAAGAAAGAAGAGAGAGAAGUGAUUUGAGAAAAUGAAGGAAAAUGGGUCUUACACCCUAUAUAUACCAAUCCGAACCGGGCGGGUCUAACCGACCCGCCAACGACCCGUUUUUUGCUUAAGCCCAAUUGUUUUUUUUAUUCACUACAGUUUUGCUAGUUAUACCCCUAUUUUACUUUCUGCACCACUUUCAUUUUUGAAAAUCUCUCUAAAAAUUACAAAAAUAUGUUUUGCUUUGUGUUAAUUGUUUAUUUACUGUUUUGUCAUUAUUAUUGUAGUAUAUUUGAAUCAUCUCAUGCAUAUUUAAUUUUUUNNNNNNNNNNNNNNNNNNNNNNNNNNNNNNNNNNNNNNNNNNNNNNNNNNNNNNNNNNNNNNNNNNNNNNNNNNNNNNNNNNNNNNNNNNNNNNNNNNNNNNNNNNNNNNNNNNNNNNNNNNNNNNNNNNNNNNNNNNNNNNNNNNNNNNNNNNNNNNNNNNNNNNNNNNNNNNNNNNNNNNNNNNNNNNNNNNNNNNNNNNNNNNNNNNNNNNNNNNNNNNNNNNNNNNNNNNNNNNNNNNNNNNNNNNNNNNNNNNNNNNNNNNNNNNNNNNNNNNNNNNNNNNNNNNNNNNNNNNNNNNNNNNNNNNNNNNNNNNNNNNNNNNNNNNNNNNNNNNNNNNNNNNNNNNNNNNNNNNNNNNNNNNNNNNNNNNNNNNNNNNNNNNNNNNNNNNNNNNNNNNNNNNNNNNNNNNNNNNNNNNNNNNNNNNNNNNNNNNNNNNNNNNNNNNNNNNNNNNNNNNNNNNNNNNNNNNNNNNNNNNNNNNNNNNNNNNNNNNNNNNNNNNNNNNNNNNNNNNNNNNNNAAAUCAAAUAAAAAUAACCAAAAACAUACUUCUUCUCCCCCCAUUCUUUCACUUAGAUUUUUAGGUAAUAAUUUUCAAAUAAGCAAUGAAUUUAGCACAAGAUAAAUUAGGUAAGAGGUUCCUACGGAAUACCGUAGACGCUUAGGGUGCUAGCACCUUCCCUUCGCGUAACCAACCCCCGAAUCCAAAGUCUCGAUGAGGGUUUUUACUCAUUUUUUCCCAUCCCACGAAUAAAAAUCGAGAGUUCAAAGAUUGACGAUUCAAAUCGAUUAAUGGUUUGAUAUCCGAAAAUCACGAGCACAUAAACACAUGUCCAUCUUCGUAAAAGCCAAACCAAACAUAUGUGUUUCGCUCAACCCGAUGUUUUUCAAUAUAAAUACUUUUUUAACUGUAAUUUAAAUCUUAAUUUGUUAUGUUGUGCGAGUUUAAACUUUUUUCAAAUACAACUCUCAUUGGUUUUUUUCGUGGUUUGCAUAUGGACUUAAUAGCAGUGUUAGCCCUAUAUUUAUAGAAGUUGCAAUUUUGACCCUCUAACUAAAAUAAUUCGAUUUUGGUCCCUUAUGCUUUGCCCCCUUUGCACUUGUGGCCCCCUAGGUCAAUUUUGACUAAGUCAAUGCUGACGUGGCACCACAUGGAUAAUUUUUUUAUUUUUUAUUUAUAUUUUUUUAAUUAAAAAAUUUUAAAAAAUUAUUUUUUAUUUUUUAAUUAAAAAAUAACAAAAAAGUAUUUUUUUAAUUAAAAAUAUUCUAAAAAGUAUUUUUUAUUUUUUAAUAAUUAAAAAAAUUACACACGUGGCGCCACAUCAGUAUUGACUUGGUCAAAAUUGGCAUAGGGGGCCAAAAGUGCAAAGGGGCAGAACAUAGGGGCCAAAAUCAAAUUAUUUUAGUUUAGGGGUCAAAAUCGCAACUUCUUGAAACAUAGGGGGCCAAAACUGCUAUUAUGCUUUGCAUAUAUUAUGCAUUUCCAUAUCAACUGAGCUAAACUCACAAGGACAUACAACUCUCAUUGGUUAAACACGAGUUUAUGAAUCAGAUAAAAAUAAAUAAAUAAAUUCGGCUAUAAAAAUCCUUCAAAAAAAAUUCGGCUAUAAAAAAUAUUGACGGACGCAUUUAUAAAAUUGGAUUCAUUAGAUAAACUUUAUGUGAAAAUUGAAAUAUUAUGAAUUGCCAACAUUUUGACUUUCUUUAAUAAUAUGUCAUAUAAAAAAUCAAACGUAUGGCAUACUCCAUGCUUAGAAGACACACUUAUUUAUUAAUUUUUAAUUUGAUCCACCAAUAAGAUCAGUUUGGACUCCUUGAAAUAAUUAAAUUAUUUAAAUAAAUUCUUACAUAUUUUUUUGGUGUGAUUUAGUUGAUAUUCCAGAUGACAUUGAAACACGAUUACAAAAGGAGAAAUAAACUACAAUAAACAUAACUAAUUUUCUAAGUAAUCUUCACCUCCAAAACAUGUUUCCUUGAAAUUUCAUUACAAUAUAAUAAUAUUGGCUCUCUCAACAUCUUACAUGAGUUUGAAUAUUUCUACUCAUCAAUUAAAUACAUUAAUUUUGCUUCCUCCUUACACAAAACGAAUCUUCAAUUGACUUGACUUUACCAUAUUACUACUACACAUCCUCUCUGGCAUUCACUUAAUUAAAUCUUCUCUCUCUUUAUUUUUUUCAUUAUUCCAAAUUCUUAGUAUUAUUCACGACCAUUAAUAUAUCAACAGCUCUUUCCUUGCUUUUUUCUGCGCCGGCAGUAACGAACUUUGGACAUGUAAUUACAUCAACAUCAAUGAGACUAUGACUUUAUUUUAUGACUAUUUUUUCUUUGUUUUUUUUUUUUGUUUUCUAUUUAUUGUAGAAAUAACUAUUUUUUCUUCUUGUUCUUCUUCAGUUUGUGAAUACAUAUCAACAGAUGUACGUACCAGAAUGAGCACUAGUUCUGAAUAUUUUGAGAAAUUUACAUGGAGAAUUGAAGAUUUCUCAAAAAAGAAUUGCAUGAAAUUAAAGUCCAAAGAUUUCAAAAUCCGUGGUUAUACAUGGUAAGUACCUCCAAUGUUUUUUCGUUUCAUUUUCAUAUAUUUUUUUUCUUUCUUUUUAUAUUUGAGUUGAGACAAAUAACUAUAGGACAAAGUUAUGGUGUAUUUUUGUUAAUGGAAGUAUCUAAUUAAAUUCACUAAUCAUAUGUAAUAUGUCUUCAUCAUGUGAUAGGAAGAUCCUUGUGCAUCCACUAAGGAGGGAUGUUGACCAUUUUACAUUGUAUUUAAUGGUUGCUGAUUCUUUACCACCAUAUGGAUGGGAUAGAAACACCUUUUUCAAGUUAGUUCUAGUUAACCAGCUGGAUAGGAACAAGAACAUUGUAAAAGGUUCAAACUCUAGAUCUUCAUUCCCCCCUUUACUAGUUUUGUUUAUAAUAACUAAUUUUUAAACUAAUUUAUAGUGAUUUAGAAGAUUCCCAACCAAAUCAGUAAGUCAAGGCGUCCUAAUCAAGAUCUAAAGGCUCAUAUUUUGUUUUCUCAAAUAUGAGCAGUUUGAUCUUAAUAGGACGAUACUGACUUACUGACUCUGACGGUAGGGAAUUGAGAUUGAGAUCCUAAAUUUUAGAUAUCUAGAUUUUAUUUUGAGAUAUUUUUCUCUAAUGAUAAUAUUUUUGGUUAAAUUGAAAGCUAAUUCUUCUUAUGCAUAUUUAUGAUUUUUAGAGACUCAGCAAAAGUUCAAUGGAGGAUAUAGAAGCUGGGGUGCAUUUUUCCUAAAUUUCAAUAAAUUCAUUGACCAUAAACAAGGGUAUCUUGUGAGAGACACAUGCAUAAUUGAAGCUCAUAUUUGUGUGUCUAACUUUGCACCAAAAAUUUAUGACGUCAAUUCCUUCAACCAAAAUUCAACUCCAACAGAUCAAUCUUCAGACGAAAGGGAAACAAUUAGUCCAAGAACAUCAGGUUCAACAUCUAGUCCAGAUGAAGGAGAGAUUCAAGGUACGGAUUUAACAUUAAGACAAUUUAUAGAUUUGGAUGGUUUAAAACCCGAAGAAAAACAUUUUGUUCCAUUUUUAGAGGAAGUUUGCACGUGGCGUCCGUCUUUGAUACAAAGUCAAAUGAAAAAAUCUCGUUUGUUUCGACAAUGGGCGUUUAUUUCAUUAGGAAAAGUUCUGUAUUUUCUUAAGACGAAGAAAGUGAAAGAUAUGAGUGAAGAUGACAUAAAGAAUCUUAAGAGUUUGUGGGAGGAACUAGCAAAAUCUUCGGAAUUCGACUUGAGUUGGUUAGAGCCUUAUGUUAAAUCUGCUUUAGGUGUGAAACCUUAUUUGGAAAGAGCAAACAAAUUGAAGAAAUUACAAGAUAAAGUUGUUUCUUUGGAUAUUAAAAUGAAGAUGCUUAGGGAUGAAUUGGCUGCUUCACAAGCAGAGUUUGAGGUUGCAAGGAAAGGGUUAUCAGAAAUCAGAAAUGGUUUCCAAGAAAUGAAUGUUAAUGCUACAAUAGGUUAUGCUAUGUUUUAAUUGGUUUUAGGUACUGAUUAAUUAAUUUGUAGACAUUAAUGAAAUGUUUUAUUUUUAGAACAUGAUUAUUAUUGAAAUUCUUUUGGUGAAAGAAUACAAAGUCUUAGUUUUGUACAAAUUAUGGAGAGAAAAAACUAUAGCAUUGUGUAUGACAUUUAAUACAUAACUAGUUAGUGUUCUGUUAUUCUUUUGUAAUAAUCUUUCUUACAACAAUGCUUCUUUAUGGCAUCUAAUUGACUAUGCCAUCUUUUUUUAUUCUAUUCAUAAAACGAUUGCUUUAGAAUCUCCUGUAAAGUGUAUUUGGAAGAGGCAAUUAGGAAAUUUUAAAAAAUUUAGAAUUUUAGUCAAUUUAAAUGAUUCAAUUAAAUUACUUUUAUUUCUUAAUAUUUUUGUUUGAAUGGAGUAAUAAAAAAAAAUUCAUUGUCAUCAUUAUUGGAUAACUUUUAUAAGUUUCAAAAAUUUGAGGGGUCAAUUUGCAGUUUUUUGGAAAAUUAUUGGGGUUGAUUGAAAAUUUAAUGAUCAAAAUGCAAAAUUUGAAAAAUUUUAACAAUGAAGAAAUUUGAAAUUCUUAACUUUUAUGUGUCAUUUGAAAUUCUCUAAAUUUAACUUGAAUAAAAUACUUUAUAAAUUUCCAUCAUAUUGAUAAUUUUUCAAAUUAUAAUCCAAACAAUGAAAUUCACCUCAAAGUUUUGAAUUUCCACUACAAGAAUACUUUGGAAUUCCGACCAAAAAUUUCCGAGGAAGCAUGGUUUCUCGCAAAAAUAAAGGUUUUCCGAGGAAGUAAUUACUCAGAAUGCAUAUGGCAGGACUCUUUAUUGUCCCGCCUGCACAAACUGUUGAGCACGCUUUUCGAUGUUGAAUUCCGAGGAAAACGUUCAUCGAAAAGCAUAUAUGACCGUUGGAAGAAUUAACUAUUACACGACAUUGUACAAAUAUUGGUAGCUUGUAUUAAUUUUAUUACCCACUUUCCUCAAAGUAGCAGCAUAAGCAUCCAUAAUACAUUUUCAUCUAGUUGAUCAAACACUACAAACUACACUGCAAACUAAAAUCUACUCAAUGUAUUGACUCCAUUUUCAUCAAGAAGAAAAAAUCAUUGUCACUUAAAUCUAUUGAAAUUUAACAUCAGAUCAUUGUUAUUGGUAAGUUUUUCAAAUGUAUUUUUAUUUUAUAAAUAUUGUUGAUUUAGUUUUUUUACAAUGUUAAUUUAUCAAUUUAUUUAUAAUCUCACUAUCAAUAAUUAUUUAUAUACUUUUGAUCAUAGUUAUUUAUAAUUUCACUACAAUUUCUUGUUGAUGCUUAAUUUUUUUUAUUUUUUAAUUUUAAUUCUUCAAAUGUAAGGUUAAUUAGUAGUAAAAAUGUUAAUUUCUAAAAGGAAUUUGUGUUGGUAAAAAAAAAUUAGUGAAAAGUUAAGUAGUUUUAAAAUAUUAGCUUAGUAAAAAUGUUAGUUAUUUUUUUUUUUUUGAAGGAAGUAAAAAUGUUAGUUUUUAGUAAUUAAAAUGUUGUGAAAAAAAACUAGUUAGUAAUAAAAACGUUACUUAAUUAUAAAAAAUGUUAGUUGGUAAAUAGGUAGUAAUAAAAAUGCUAGUUAGUAUUCUUUCAAAAAAAAUGCUAGUUAGUAAAAAUCUUAGUAACAAAAAUCUUAGUUCGUAAGUUUUAGUAUACAUACAUGUGAUAUAUAAUAUGUAUUGUUAAUUAUAUAUUUAUUUAUAUAUAACUUUAUUGAUUAAAUAUGCAUGGAUAUUGGUAUAAAAUAAAAUAUACUAUACAUAAAUAUUAUAUUUUGUUUUAAGAAAUGCAUAAAUAGUUUUUUUUUUUAAAGAAUUUAACCAAAUGGCAACAAUGCUGAAGAUGGAUUAAUAUUAUUACUACCGAAGUUGGAUGUACGAUAGAACAUUUCCGGGGAGAACCAAGCUUAAACCGUAAUUUGAGGAAGGAAUUCAUGGAUUUGCUGCUUUCGCCAUGUCACAAACCAUUUAUGAGAGGGAGGGAGGGAUAAGAUGUCAGUGUCUUACUUGUAAGUGUAGAUUGAUAAAGAGUGGAGAAGAUGUCAUCAAACAUUUAAAAAAUGUUGGCUUUAUGGAUUCCUAUUGGGUGUGGACUAAUCAUGGUGAACAAAUGUCGCCUAUUAAUACUGGGUUAGAUGUGAAAACACAUGCUUCAUGAAGUGGAACACAUACAGAGAAUGUUGAACAGUUUGACAUGAUGGAUGAUAUGAUUAGUGACGCUCUUGGAGUGAACAUGUCUUAUGAUGAGUCCGUUGAAGAGGAGCUACCCCCGAACAAGAAAGCACAAGAUUUUUACAACCUAUUGGAAAAGAUAAAUGAACCGUUGUUUGAAGGAUCGAAUGACUCUAAAUUAUCCAUGUGCGCGAGACUUUUAGCUGCCAAGUCAAAUUGGAAUGUACCUGAUAAGUGCUUGGAGCACUUCGUGAAAAUGCUUUUGGAUGCUACUCCCAUCAAAGACAAUCUUCCGAAAAGUUAUUACGAGGCCAAUAGAUUAGUGUCGAAAUUGGGGUUAGAAUCUAAAAGGAUUGAUUGUUGCAGUAAUGGGUGCAUGUUGUUCUACGACAAUGAAUUCGGUACAAAUGAUGCUGCACUAGAGGAGUGUAAAUUUUGCAAUGAACCGAGGUAUGUUGUUCGCAAUGAUGAUGUUUACCGUAAUCACAAACGAAUCCCGGUUAAGUCAAUGUUUUACAUGCCAAUAAUACCAAGACUGCAGAGGUUGUAUGCAUCAAUGCAAACUGCUAGUCAAAUGACCUGUCAUUAUUACAAUAAGUCAAAUCCAUCCGUGAUGCGGCAUCCUUGUGACGGUGAGGCAUGGAAGCAUUUUGAUCGUGUUCAUCAUGAUUUUGCAUUAGAUUCACGAAAUGUGAGAUUGGGAUUAUGCUCCGAUGGCUUUACACCAUAUAUCCAAGCGUUGGCAAUGCCUUAUUCUUGUUGGCCAAUUAUUGUUACCUCAUAUAACCUCCCUCCUGAGAUGUGUAUGUCAAAACCUUACAUGUUCUUGACUUGUCUUAUUCCGGGACCGUCGAGUCCACUUGAUGGCAUUGAUGUGUAUUUACAACCCUUGAUUGAUGAUCUGAAAAGGUUGUGAAUUGGUCAAUUGACGUAUGAUAUUGCAAAGAGGGAGAAUUUCAAUAUGAGGGCGGCUUUGAUGUGGACUAUCAACAAAUUUCCUGCGUAUGGGAUGUUUUUUGGUUGGGGGACUCAUGGUAGACUUGCUUGCCCUCGUUGUAUGGAGAAAACAAAGGUGUUUACUUUGGACUAUGGAGAAAAGGCUUCAUGGUUUGACCAUAGGAUGUUUUUACCAGAAAGUCAUGUAUUUCGAAGGAAAAGAAAUAUGUUCAGGAAAGAUAAAAUAGAAAAAGAUGGUCCACCUCCUAAGAUAACAUCUCGUGAAGUGUUUCGUAGGGUCCGUGGGCUUUCGAGAUUCCCAGAUGUUGGCAAAAGAAUCAGAUACCAUGAAUAUGGGGAAAAGCACAACUGGAUCAAAAGAAGUAUUUUCUGGGACCUUCCUUACUUGAAAGACAAUUUACUAAGACAUAAUCUUGAUGUUAUGCACAUUGAAAAGAAUAUUUUUGACAAUAUACUUCACACAGUGAUGAAUGUCUCCGGUAAAACAAAAGAUAAUGAGAAGGCUAGACUGGAUUUGUCGGUUUAUUGUAAAAGACCAGAAAUGGAACUACAACCUCUUCCAAAUGGAAAAUUUCGAAAACCCAAAGCUGUUUUAGUCUAACCUCUGAUGAAGCAAAAUCUGUUUGCAUGUGGUUAAAAGAGCUAAGGAUGCCGGAUGGUUAUUCUUCUAAUUUAGCAAGGUGUGCCGACGUCAACAAGGGAAAGUGUCGUGGGAUGAAAAGUCAUGAUGGUCAUGUUUUCUUGCAACACUUACUUCCAAUUGCAUUUAGUUCAUUGCCAAACAAUGUUAUAAAACCAUUGACUAAAGUUGGCCAAUUUUUUAAAGACCUUUGUGCUUCAACUCUAAGAAUGGAUGAACUUGUUAAAAUGGACUAGAAUAUGUCAGUCACUCUCUGUAAACUUGAGCAAGUUUUCCCACCAGGUUUCUUUGAUUCUAUGGAACAUCUGCCGGUGUAUCUCGCUUACGAAGCCAUGCUCGGAGGGCCUGUUCAAUAUAGGUAGAUGUAUCCUUUUGAAAGAUUCAUGGGUGAUGCAAAGCGAUGUGUGAAGAAUAAGGCUAAGGUAGAGGGAUCAAUACACACAACUUACACGUUGAAGGAAGCAAAUUAUUUUCUCUCCCAUUACUUCAAAAACGGGACAUUGACUCCAACAAACACACGAAAUGAAGUUGAUGCUGCAAGUGGAAGUCACUCAUUUGCAUUAUCGGUCUUUUGUCUUCCCAGGCGUCAUGUUGAAAACAAAGAAAACUGGAUGAAAGAUGAAGAGUUGAGGUCAGCUGAAGUUCAUGUGUUGAUUAAUUACACUGAAGUUAAACCAUACCUCGAGUACAUCCAUCAUGUAUAUAUUUAUUUUAAUCAAAUAUAUUUUUUUAAUAUUACUGAAGUUAAAAUUUGAAUUUCACCAAAGGGAAUUUUUGAGUUGGGCAAACGUUAGUGAACAACAAUCUUCUAGUUAUAUAUAUGCUAAUUUUACAGAAUGGUUUAAACAUCAAGUAUCAAUUAUUGAACCGACUAGAGGAGCCAGUCAUCUGAGAGGACUAGCUCGAGGGCCAGAGAGACUUGUCAAAGAAUAUCACACUUACUUUGUGAAUGGAUAUAAAUUUCAUACUCAUGCAUGGACGGUGGGCAAAAAACAUAUAACAAUGGUGUUUACGUAAAAGGAUUCGGAGAAGGAGGUGUAGAUGACUUCUACAACGUAAUUAAAAACAUAUAUGAAUUGUCUUACCAAUAUGUAGAACAUAAGAACAAAGUUGUGUUAUUUUACUGUGAUUGGUUUGACCCUUCAAGGAAUGGGACAAAAAUUGACCCCAUCUCCAAAAUUGUUGACAUACGAAUGGACAAAAGGUAUAAUGCAUUUGACCCAUUCAUCAUGGCACAUAAUGUCAAACAAGUGUAUUAUGUACCUUAUCCUUCGUUUCAGCAACGCAAACGAGGAUGGUGUGCUGCCAUCAAGACAAACCCAAGAUGUCACAUUGAAACGAACAUCCCAAUUGAAGAAGCAGCUUACCAAGAUAAUGAAAUGUCAUAUGUUCCCAAUGUAGUUGAAGUCGAACCAAUUACAGGUUUAUUAGUUGACCAAGAAGUUGAUGGUCAAGAAGUUGAAGUUAACUUGUUGGAUGACAAUGAGGAGGUGACAAAUAGUUGUGAAGAUAACAUGUCUUACGAUGGGGGUGAUACAUAUAGUAUAGUAGUGAUGAUAUAUAAGAUUUCGAUUAAAAUAUUUGUGUAAGAUUUCAACUUCUUUGAAAUAUUGUGUAGCAUUUCAGUGUAAUGAUAAGUUUAUUAGUUUUAAUGUAUCCCUUAGUUGUAUAGAAGCACAUUUUUCCCUUUUUUUCACUCUCCCGCUCAGUUUUUCAUGUGGCGCGUCCUAGUUUUUAAGUCAUUUCAUUAUUUUCUUUUUCUUUUUCUUUUAUUUUCAAUAACAAAGUGAAAAGAAGGAUAGAAAGAACGAGUACUCAGUCCAGAUCUCAAACCAUCAAAAAACCCUAAAUUCCUUUCUCUCUCUCCAAUCUCACCAUUGUAGAAAGAAGCUUGCCUCUCGCCAUCUCCCUCCCGUAAUCUCAUCGUCGCUGCUAGGUAAGCUUACAUUAUUGUCUUCAUAGUUUUCAACAUGUUUAAAGUUUCAAUUUUUAAGGGUUUUUGCUGCUUCGGUUCAACCCUGUUCCCUGUUUAGCUACUUCGGUUUUGUCAUGCAGCAGGGUUUUUUUUGUAUCGGUUCCUAUUCAAUCAUUGGUUCCUAUUAAUCAUAAUUUUCAACACUUUUAUGCUGAAAGCUUCAAUUUUUAAGGGUUUGUUGAAAUGUUUAUUCAUUAUUUUCCAUUGAUAAUGGCUUGCCUCUAACUAAGUACAUAGUUACCCUUGAUUUUGCUUCUUAUAUACAUUACUAUUGUUUUUUAGAUUCGUGGGAAAAAUAAUUUUUAUAAACCUUAUGCUGAAUCUAUAAAAUUUUAACGAUUUUCUGAAAGUGUUAAUUUUUAAACUUUGGUGAAAGUAUCAAUUUUUAAGGGUUUGCUAAAAGGUUUAUUCAUUGUAUCCCUUUCAUCAUGCUUCUAGCUAAUAUUAACCAUUAUAGUUGAUUUUGCUUCUUGUUCACUUUUUUAUCUACUUUUUAAAUUAGUGGAGAAAAUAUGUGGAGUAGGAGAACAUAACAAUAAAUUACGUCUUUGAAAUUUAUAGAAACUUUUUAUUUAGAACCAUGAUUUGUUCCUUUGUGUAUUCACUAUUAAAACUCGUUCUCAUCAAUCCUUUUUCUUUUUAUGGUCUUUAUUGUGAUGAAUUUCAUGUAAUUAAUGUUAAUUAAUCAAGGGUGAGUACUUGGUAUCAUGUGAAAGCUUAAUAUAAGGGUUAGUACUUGGUACCAAAUGUGAUUAGUUUUGGGUACUGUACUACUGAAAUUGAAAGCUUAAUAUAAGACUAAUUUAUUUCAUGUUGUGAGAAUAUUUUGGUUCGAGUCUAAUUUUAUGAGGUAAAGGUUAAUGAAAAUGGUUUGUGACUAUGCAGGCAAGGGAUCUUCCAAAAUCUAUUCAGCCAUGCAACCAAAAGAAGGUGAAAACAAAAAGGGUACUAAAAAGAGGAGGACGAAAUUCAUUGAACAGAUAGUGGAGACCAAUGUAGUCAGGAACAAGUUUCUACGUAGGUUUGAUCGGCCGGUGAAGGGACGGAAAGUCGGGGAACGUAACACGGUUUGUAAGAACCCACUCAAGGGAAAAAUUCUAACUUCACAUAUACAUACACACUCAAAAACAUAAAAAUAAAAAAAACUUAUAAAACUUAAGUGGAUUAAACUACACAUUAAUGAGUCAUAAUCAUCAUCAUUAUUCAAAAUCAUAAUAGAGACCAGAGAUAAGGGAGGAAAAAAUGCAGAGAGUUAUGGGUAAUGUGAAAAAAUGAGUUUUAGUUGAUGAAAGUGAACGAAAACAAGAUUAGGUGAUGGAAGAGAGUGAACGACGGCGAAAACGCCGCUUGGCUAGGGUUUAGCAAAGUUGAAGAUGAAAGAAACGCGUUUCGUUUUUACAUAUAAAACCGGGUUUUAUUUUUGACCCGACCCGGUUCGCGAAACCCAGCCCAGAUUGGCCAGCGCAACACAUUUUUUUUUUGUGUUUCUGCUGCAGACACUUGAUCCUGACAAAAUAAAAAUGGCAAAAACGACCCACAUCAAGGUCGCAGCUCGUUUGGUUAGGGAAAGCACGUAAGAUCAUGCGAUCCUACGUGCUGGGACCCGAUCCUGGCUACCUUGGUGGAGACAGACCCGUCAUUACAGUUUAUUCCGAUGCCGACUCAAAAUGACCCUGGUUCUUCAACAGUGUAAACUCCACGAACUUACUGUGCACCAUUUCCUACAUAUCCACUGCCUCCACGUCCUACGCAGACACAACCAUCAUACCCUACACAACCAUUGUGCCCUUCACCUACUCAACCCAUAUACAUCUUUACUCCAUUCCCUACACCGAGUACUUCAGCUGUCAAUUCCCACUCCCCAAAUUAUCGUUCACAUGUCCCUACACAAAAUCCAUCAUUCCCGACACAAUCUCAACCAUUAUUCCCUUCACGUACUCCAUCCAUAUACAUCACUACUCCAUUCCCUACACCCACUACUUCAGCUGUCCAUUCACACUCCCCAAAUUUUGGACAACGUCCAUUUAUUCCUAGACCACGUUCAAAUACACCAGGAGAAUUCAAGAAUCUAUUGUCUUUACAACCAUCUGCCGAAGUCUUCAUGCCAGUACCCACAAUUUUGAACCAGGAGCAACACCAUGAUCAACAAGAUGAGCUGCAACAUGUACAACAAGAGCAAGAACAUGAGCAAGAUGAGGAACAACAACAAGAGGUUGAGGAGGAAUACCAAGAGGAGGAGGAGGAGGAGGACAACAAGCAAUAUAUUGAGCAUCAUAAAAGACAUUCAAUAUGUAACCAAUUUAUUAUCUUCCAUGUUGUUCGAGGGUAAGUAUUAACAAAUUAAUUUUCUAUUUAUAUUUUGACUUAACUUAUAUUAAUUUUUGAAAUUAACAAUUUAAUUCAUAUAUUUCAAAUAUAUAUUUAGGUUGGAGCCCAAUGCAGUUGUAGCCAAAUAUAUUAGGUUGGCAAUACAAACCAACUUCAAGCAGUUUUGAAAAACUUACAAGGCUGUUGAUAAGAAGUUGAUUUUUGAAUGGUUUCAGGUAACUAGAAAUAAAUACAUAUAAGUUCUGAUUUAGGCUCAAGUUACUAAUGCAUCUGAAGUUACUAAUGCCACUUGGUUAAACAUAUAAGUUCUGAUUUAUAGUAAUCAAUUUUAUGAGAAGUAAAGGCGAGUUUAUAAAAUUAUAAAGUUGAUUUUGAUAAUAUAUUUGGUGCAGAAGAAAUGUGUUUGGGAGUCUCGCCAUGAUGCUCAGGUUAAGAAGAAUUUUCAUUAUCGAGCUCAACACAGUUUCCAAGAUAUGAUGUCAACAGUAAGAGCAAAGCAUGCUAGAGAUCCUGAAUGGGUACCUGGGUGGAUAGGAGUUAACAUCUGGCCUCGCUUAUUAGAGAAUUGGGCAACAUAUCCAACAUUUCUAAAACGUUCACAGAUUGGAAAAUUUAACCGAGCGUCAGAGAAGGGAGGUUGCUUGCACUCAGGUGAUUCUGCAAGUUCUUAUACAACCAGUCAACGCAUGGUAAAAAUACAUUUAUUUCUUAGUUUUUAUAUAUUUGUAUAUAUUAAUUACUCAUAAAUUCUAACUAACUUUAUUUUUAACCACUUAUAAUUAAUUUUAUGUCGUGCUAAAUUAGAAACGCACCCUUGGGCGAGAUCUAUUUAUUAAUGAAUUGCACAAAUAUCGGCACAAGAAAAAAGGCAAUGGUGAAUAUGUUGAUUCUCGUGCUAAGACCACUCAGGUAAAUUUAUACUUUCAUAUUUUUGAAUUGUCUUAGCGUGUGUUUGGUUCUGUAGGUGGUGAAAAUUAGUUUGAUAGAGUUCAAAGCAAUUUGACGUGCGUUUGGCCAUUCAAACGGCCAACCAAACAUAUACUAAGAAGUUACUUUUCUCACGAAUUGUAAUUUGAAUUAACAAGUGUUAUUAUUUACGUAUACAGUAGAACUUUGAUAAGAAGGCUAAAGAGGUAUUAUCUCCGUCUGAUGGCUCAUCUCCAACGGGUACAAUGCGUUUACUUGACCAUUCUACCUCACAAACCAUUUGGAAGGAAAUAGUCUGACGUGGAAAAAGUUACAAAUAUUAUGGUGCUGGAUCCAUGGCCUCCAACUUGGUACACAAUAGAUGUAUUUAUGAACGAUCGAUUGAUGGAGAUGGCGGCUCUCGUAAUGCGGAGAUGACACCUGAAAUGGUGGCACUGAUACAACAAUCGAGUCAACAGAUGCAAUCUCAAAAACAAGUGGAGCUUGAACAAGCGAGGACUCAGUUAAAACAACAAGACUUUUUCAUUCUGGAAAUUCAGCGUACAGAGAGUUGAUAGAAGAGAUGGAAAGGAGGGCCGAAAGACGGGACCGUAGACACCGCCAACGCUUGCCUCAACAAGACUCAGCAAAUAAUGAAUCUCUUUCCUCAAAAGAUGGGGAUGGUGAUGAUGAUGAUGAUUCAGAAAAUGCAUGAAGGUAUAAAUCCUUCAUUUUUUCCUGCCAGAAAAGUUAUUGGUAUGUUGUAGAGUCUUUGCCUUUUUGCCAUAAGUUGUGAUUUUGGUAGAGAUCAUCUGGUAUCAUAAUGGGGUGUGUUGGAAUGAAUGAUAUUUGACUACAAAACUGUUUGUAUGGUUCAAUUUGCUUAAUUGUUCGCUUGUUUAGUUUGUGAGAAAACAUGGUGCUUUAUUUAUAUUAUCAUGGGGUGUGAAAACCAGAAAAUAGAAACAAUGUAUCCCAUUAUGCCAAGAACUUUAUCACAAAAAUAUGAAGGCUACAAUUAAUGCAAUUUCAGCCAAACUUUUGAGAAAACUGUUUUACAACAACUUUUUCAUGGGAGGCAUGUAACUAAGUGUUUGGAAGGUAAUAUUGGGCCUUAAAACAAAAAUGAGUUAAAUUGCUUGUAAACACUGUUCUUUUCGUAAGUAUUUGAGUUAACUUGCUUGUAUGAGUUCAAGUUAACUAUGAAAAAUUGAUAAACUCUUGAUUCUAGCAGUGAAUCGAUCGGCCUAAGUAUAUACAUUAUUUUGUUAAAUUAGUUAUGUUCUAUAACAUAUUUCAGGUUUAGGAAGCUAAUUUAAGUGUGUUAUACACUUUUAUUUAUUGCACAACAACUUUUUCAGUUUAAUGUUGUUAUUUUAAGUGCACUGUGUUAUUAUGGUUAGAAUCUGUAAAAAAAUGGACUUACCAUUUCAAUUGCUUCAAGAUUCAGACCCAAGUCCAAUUUAGAAUGAUUAUAAUGAUGCAUCCAACAUGCUCAUGUUUGUUAUAGACUUGAACUUUAAUUUUGUUUAGCAUACUAUAUGGACUUGAAUUAUGUGUUUAUCUGAUGGAUUAUCUUUUGGUUGUUGUUGUUGCAGGUUGUUUAUUGGUGAUGUAGGUGGUUUUUGAUUGUGACGCUGGGGUAUUCUCAUUUGUGGUUUCGGUAUCAGUAAGAAGCUUGUUGCCUGCUAUUUGUUCAGACUAGUGUGCAGCUGGUUGAACUUUUGUUCGAAUAUGCUAGCAUCAUUGUUUGAGGGGCUAGGCUGUUUUUAUGUUAGUGGUAUUUUAUUUAGUUUUGUUUUCGGCUAGGCAUGGCAAUGGGGCGGGGUGGGGACGAGUUUUACCUUCCCCGUCCCCAUAACCGAUUCUCAUAUACUUACCCAUUACCCUACCCAUACCCAACGAAGAUGAGAAAUUGAAUCCCAUCCCCGUCCCCGACGGGUUCUGGUAUCCCCACCCCAUCCCCAUCCCCGUAUUGAAUAAUUUUAAUUUUUAUUUUUAUUUUUAUAAAAAAUAGAAGUUUUUUUACAUCCUCAAGAGCAACGUUGUAACACAUUAUCCAACAAUAUGCUCACUUUAACAUUUGUUAGAUGGAAUGAUUUAGUUGAUACUUUAAAUAUCAAUAGUAGUUUUUAUAAACAUGACAAUUAUCAAACAAAAUAACAUAACAUAUCAACAUAAAGUAAUUUUUUUACAUUUGGGACGGGUAUGAGUAUGGGUUCGGGGUGGGUACCUAUAUACCCGUUACCUGUAACACCUCGUUUUCCUAACAUAAAAAUUUCGCAUAUAAUCAGAGUAUUCAACACAAACGGAAUGUCACACUUCUUUUCUUAAAAUCAUAAACGGAAAUAAAUAAACUAUUUAUCCUUUAAAAUUCAACAACAUAUUAUUUAAUACUUCAUUAAUAACUCAAUCAACUUCUAAUCAUUAUUAACUUCAUAUUCAUCACAUUAUAAUACAUCAUCAUAUAGCACAUAAUAAUCAAAUCAUAACCAACAUAGAUCAUCACAUCAUAAACAUCAUCUUAUAACAACAUAGACAACACCAUAAUCAACAUCAUAAACAACAUUAUAAACAACAUCAUAAACAACCUCAUAAACAACAUCAUAAGCAACAUAACAACGUCAUAAACAAUAUCAGAAUAACAUCAUAAACAACAUAACAACAUCAUAAACAUCGUAUAAUCUUCAUAAGUACUUCAUUAACAACACAUAUGUAGAAGACAACUCAACUACUUAACAACUCAUGGAUGACAAUUCAGCAACAACUUAACAACUCAUGGAUGACAACUCAUCAACAACGACUUUGACUCGGCAAUGCAACUUCGACUUGACUAUGCAACUUUAUCUUCUUAAUCAUGCAUGUGGUACCAAUACAGGGCAUCAAGCUCCCAAGGUAUUGAGCGUAAAUAGGCUCCCAGGGCAUCAAGCCCUCAACGUGUUGAGCAAAAGCUCCAGGGCAUCAAGCCCUCAACUUAAAUGAGUAUGCAUGGACUCAACAACUUACAACUUGGACAACAUCGACAACUUAAGACUCCAAUACUUUGGAACGACAACUUACAACUUAGACCAACACCUUAAUAAAUCGAUCAGGCAGCCUCUCUUGGUUCUUCUCUCUUCUUGCUCUUCUCUAACUUCUUACUUUCUCCCUUUAUCUCCCAAAAGCAGUUUGCACGAAAUCCCUAUUUUCUAAUUCUAACUCUCCAUUUUAAUAUAAAUCCUUAACCUACUUAUUUUCUCUUAUUUCCAAAUUUGCCCUCCAAAAUCUCAAUAUUCUAUUCUAAUAUAUAUAUAUAAAAUAUUUAUAUAACAAAUAACAAUUAUAUCUCUAUAACAAAUAUAUUUCUAUAACACAUAUAUAUAUAUAUAUUUCUACACCAAAUAAGAAAUAUAUUUCUACACCAGAUAACAUAUAUUUCUACACAAAAUAACAUAUAUUUCUACAACAAAUAACAUAAUAUUUCUACAUCAAAUAACAUAUAUUUCUACAACAAAUAACAUAAUAUUUCUACAACAAAUAACAUAUAUUUCUACACCAAAUAACAUAAUAUUUCUAUAACAAAUAACAUAAUAUUUCUACACCAAAUAACAUAUAUUUCUACAACAAUAACAUAUAUUUCUACAACAAAUAACAUAUAUUUCUACAACAAAUAACAUAAUAUUUCUAGACCAAAUAACAUAAUAUUUCUACACCAAAUAACAUAUAUUUCUACAACAAAUAACAUAAUAUUUCUAUACCAAAUAACAUAAUAUUUUUACUAAACUCUCCCAAUUUCCAAAACAUCCCCCACAACUUAAUCUUAUUUUAUUUUCAAAUCUUAUUCUAUUAAAUAAUAAAAUAAGUCACUUAAUAAAUCAACAACACAUCACAAAAAUCAUAUAAAUCACAUAAGUCAUAAAAAUAGACUCUAAACUCAAUAAAAUAAAUAAAUAUUAAAAUAGGGCAUUACAUUACCCGUCCCAUACCCGUGUUUUGAAACCGGGGAAAACCCAUACCCAUACCCAAACCCAAUCAAAAUGGGGAAAAUCCGUCAAAUUGGGUUUGGUUCGGGCGGGUAACCGCGGGUAUGGGUUUUGUUGCCAUGCCUAUUUUUGGCAGUUUUGCUGCUGCUGUGAUUUGUCGCCUGUUAGCAGCAAUUUUGGGUUUAGACCUUUGUUUUAGUUAUUUGUUUUGAGAGGAUUUGGUAGGUGUUAUUUUAGUAUUCCAUUGUACUAGCAGGAUCUUGUUCGAUUUGUCCGCGAGCUUUUGUGUUCCGUACACAAUCUCGAUGGGUAUAAUAUUUGCCGCUUCAAGAAAAAAAAUCCAUUUAUUUACUUUUUUUAAUCAAAUUCUGUUUUUUUAUUAUUUUUAAUUAAAAUAAAUACCGAGGAACACCGAGGAACUUUUUACUCGGUUAAAUAUUUGGCGCUUUUUUAUUAAGAUAUUGCCGCUUAAUUAUGAAUUAAAAAAAUUAAAAAAUAACAUACAUUCCGAGUACAAGAUCCUUGGAAAUGCUAGUUACUUUGUGUCAGCCACCGCAGAAGCACCAGUCUGCUGCGCAGUUGUCAAAUCAAUAUUUCGAGGACAUUUGUUCCUCGGAAACUUUAUUUCCUUGGAAAUUUCCUCGGAACCUGGAUUGUAACCAAUGAUUUUCCGAGGACCCAUAUUCCUCGGAAUAAAGCGACGUUCCGAGGAGAAACAGACGUUUUCCUAGGAGUUAUGGGCCUCGGAAUUCCAAUGAUUUCUUGUAGUGUUCCUCAAAAAGUUACAUUAUCUCCAACCAUUACCUAGAGUGUGUUUGGAUGGGGUAAUUGAAAUUUUUUAAAGAAUUUAAAAUUAUAAGCAAUUCAAUUAAAUUACAUUCAUUUCUAAAUAUUAUUGUUUGUAUGGAGGAAUAAAAAUAUUCAUUGUCAUCAUUUUUGGCAUCUUUUAUAAGUUUUAAUGUUUUGUGCCAAAUAUGAAAUUUUUCUUGUUAUAUUGGUCAAUAAUCAAAAUAUAAAAUUCCCCUCUUUUUCUAAUAGCUGCACUAAGUCCACUCAUAUAUUUAUUGAUCUAUAUUCAAUGCUAAUAUUUGGGGUCCUUAUACCACACUCUCUAUAUCUUGUCAUCGAUACUUUCUUAUCUUAGUUGAUUAUUGUAGUAGAUUUACUUGGAUUAUUCGUAUGAAAAUUAAAAGUGAGACUAGACAACAAAUCAUCAACUUUUUUUCCGUUGAAACACGAUUUGUUAAGAAACUUAAAUGUUUACGAAGUGACAAUGGUAAUGAACUCCUCAUGCAUGCAUGCUUUCUCUAAAGAUAAAGGGAUCUUACAUCAUUGAUCUUGUUUUGUAACCCCUCAACAAAAUGAGAUUGUUGAGAGGAAUCAUCAACACAUCAUUGUAAGGUAACUUUAUUUUCAAGCGAAAUUACCUUUUAAUUUUUGGCAUUUUAGUGUCCAACAUGUUGUGCAUCUUCUUAAUAGAAUUCCUACUUCCUUCUUAAAUAAUAAAGUACCUAACACUGCACCCUAUAAACAACCUCCUACUUUAUUACAUGAUACAUUUCAAAACUUUUGGUUCUUUGGUUUAUGCAUCAACUUUUCAAGAUAAUAAAAGUAAAUUUGAAAUCGUGCUAGGAAAUCAUUAAUUUCUUUUUUGGGAUAUAGGAAUGAUAGUAAACGUUAUGUUUUCUACGAUUUAAAUAGCUAUAUAAGUUCUUUAUUUUUAGAAAGCGUUAACCGUUCAAAUUGACUCUAUAAUAUAUGCAAAGUUGAAACAUAACCAUGUAAAAAAGAAACACAUGUUUUACCCAUGUAAUUUGACAUCCAUCAUAUUUUUUAUCUCUUAUUUUUCCAUGUUCUAAAACUCCUAAUUUAGGUCAAAUCCAGGGGCGGCCCUGAGCACGGGCUCGGGGGCGACAGCCCAGGGCACCACAAUUUUAGGGGCACCAAAAAAAAUAUUUUUACUACCUAUAUAUAUAUAUAUAUACUACCAUAAAAAAAUGCUAGUUGCUGACAAAAUUAUAGGGGCACUACAAAGUCAAAACUAAUAAAUGGUGUGAUUAAAUGAAAUCAGUUAACUACAUGUAACAAAACCAAAAAAUAUUGAUUACAUAAAUAUUAAAAUUAAAAUAAUAUUGACUACAUGUACCAAAAAAUCAGUUAGCAAAUGAACCGAUGAGUAAUUCGUGAAAAGCAAGUAAAAAGUCAAUAGUCUAAUUGUGGCACUUAAAUAGAAAUAAUGAUAUGGAGUGAAUAAUAAAGAGAUGGAUUUUUUUUGUGAAGAACCUUGAUUUUGAACAAAUUAUUGAUGAUUUUGCAACAAAAAAUUCAACGAGAAAAAUAUUUAAAUAAUUUUAAAUGUUUGGUCAAUUUUUUUUAUAGGAAACAAUAACAAAUCAAAGAAGAGGAAAAGGAAGAGGAAGAAUAGCUAAUUGGUUCACACUUCAAAGAUUCAUACUUGUGUUUUUCUUGCACAAUGUCAAAUGAAAUGUUUAAUAGUCUUUCAGUUCAUUUCUCUUAAUCUUAUCAUUUUUUAUGGAUUUUUUUUUAUAAGGGCACCACUCUCUUGAUUUUCCCAAGGCAUCCAAAUUUAAAGGGCCGGCCCUGGUCAAAUCAAAACUAAAAUGACUGAAAAAUAUGUGGAAAAUAAUGCAAGAUGACAUGUCAUACCCGUUCCAGAAGAACAAUGUUCAGUGCAGUGAACUUGCGAUGAAUUUGUAGCUGCGAGAACAAGAAUGAGAGGUUAAGGGAAGAUUAAAUCGUACCUUAGAGAAUUUAUUAAUCGUCGAGCCUUGCACAUUAAAGUGUGAAGGAGGUGUUUCAGUUUCCUUGGGGAUAUAUGAGGCUCCUUACAGUUGCAAGCACACCUUCAUGUGGUAUGGAGGCGUUAAUAGCUUAGUUUGGGUCCUAGCAUGGCUAGCAAGGCUUUUUGGGAAGUCUAGAACAAUUACCCCCCAAGUCAUCAUUCUGGCAGUGAAGAGUGAUGACUUCAAGUAGUUUUAUGUUUAUAAAGGGACAAGCGCUUAAAAAAUGUGAUAUAAUUUACUCGGGGUAAUUUUGAGUUCGCUCGGGCGUUUACUAUGAAGGAAUAUUUAGCUUACGGGGGAGCUUUUAUGGUAAGGAAUAUCAAACUCCUAACGAGCAAUUUUAUUGAAGAAUAAUUUUGAAUUCGUGGGGGAUUUUUAUUGUUAAAGGAUGUUAAGCUCUCAAAGAUAUUUUCUUGAAAGAGUAAUUUAGACCCAUGGGGAGCGCUACACUAAUAGUCUUGUAAGAACGUGAGAUAAUGUUUGAGGAGAACUUGACUCUAGAGCGGAAACACAUUACUAAGCUAAACAUGUCAAGGAUGCCUUGCCUUGACGAUGAUCAUCCUCUCUUAUGCUUUUUUCAAGAGAGAAUCGAGUGAUGCGAUAUUAUGCCCACAAGGAAUGAGGAGUUUGAAUUAUGCAGGACAAGUUCAUGCUCAUAUGUCACAUCCUGCAUUAGGGCUACUUCAUUGCACUUGAUGGCCUAGACUAUUGAGUGAUCUUUAGCGCUCGUUUUCGAGGAUGGUUUGCGUUUGUUUUAUUCAUUAAAACACUUGGUUUUCUUUAUCAAAUAUCUUGAUGAACCAUUAGAUUCAAUGAAGCCUUUCAAUCUUGACUGUCUAGUCGGUAUAAUGCUUGUGAGACAUUGAAUUAUUUUUCUUAUAUUUGUACCAGAUGGAUGACCCUUAUGACAUUUAAAUGUUGUUUUGCGGAAAGUAUGAGAGGUUUUUGGGGUAUUCAAAACAAUUUAUACCAUCUUUUCUCUAAGUCUCUCCAUUUUUUUUUGUUUUUGCAAACACAAAGCUUCAUGUUUUUCUAGAAUCUUUGGAUUUUUCAGAGUAGUUUCAUCCUUCAUUAUAACAAGUGGGUUCUUUUAUGCUUUUCUUAUUCAUUUCAUAUAUGGAAUGAUUUGUCAGUGGUUUUUUUUUUUCCAAUGAUUUGCUUAAGUUUAGAACCAAUAGGUUAGUUGUUAAAUGUUUAGUGGUGGUGAUGUAGUUUUCGAACUAAACACUUGUUAUAAUGAAGGAUGUUAAGGAAGUUCCUCGAUUCUUGUUUGACUAGUCGGAAGAUCACUAUGAGUUUCGAACUAAACACUUCACUAAUAGUUAUGAUCAUUUUAGAGAGAAAGAGCGUAGGGAUCAUGAUAGUCUCUAAAACUGUGUCCAACUUGGUUCUCAUGACGCUCGUAGAUACUAAGGGAGAUCACAUAUAUUUGGUGGAUUUUGCACUUCAGAAUUAGACAUAUUUUAAGAAACAAGCAAUGCAAAACUCGGAAUGUCCUUCCUUUUAUAGAUAUUAUGUGUAUUGACCUAACUUCUGUUAAAAUUCACUCCUCAAAGCAUCACAUUAACCGUCAUCCCCCCUUUAAGAUAGAUGUAUUACAUUGAAUCUUGGUGGAUGUUGCGGUGCUUCGGGUGACAUAUAUGUUGGUGAUUUACUUUGUGAUAACAAUGGAGAUUGGAUAUUUGACUUCUAUUAAAAUAAAAAUAUAGAAAAUGUCAUGUUAAAUAUUAAAAGGAAACUUAAUCUCAUUGAUCCAUUGGUUUUGUUGGUCUAUUAAAAUAUAGACCAAAUUAUAAUUUAAAUAUAUUCAUCUGCACUAUAUAUAAAGAAAAUAACAUGGUUUGGCUCAGUUGCGUUGACUUUUUCUCAUUCUAAAACUACCCUCAACUUUCAAUAUAAAUAAUACAUAUGACAAAUAGUUAAGAGUAAAUUUAAAUAUAAAAUAAAAGUGUGACAAACUUGACGAGUAAAUCUAUACUUACCUUUUCCUUAUCUCAAUUAUACCCUUAAAAAAAAAAAUUGUCAAGUAGUCUAGUGGCUAGAAUUCACAUUUUUCAACGUGAAUAAGUGGGGUGUACGGGGUUCGAAUCCCAACCCUUGCAUAUAAUAAUGCAUGCCCCUGCAUAUUUUGUGACAAAGUAUUUAUUUUCUUCUAGAUUUUCAAUUUUACUGUUUCCAAUAUGCCAAUACUUUAGUCAAUAACUAGAGCUGUCAAAACGGGCGGCCCGGCCCGUUUAGGGCCGGGCCUAACGGGCUUUAGCGGGCCGGGCCAACAAGCCCGAUUGAAAAACGGUCUUGAAAUAUACUACCCGAGCCCGGCCCUACACGGGCCGCGGGCUAAACGGGCCGGCCCGUAUUAAAAAUUAUAUAUUUUUUUAUUUUAAAAAGUACUAUAAAACACUACUAUAAUUUUUUUUAUAAAUAAUAUUUUUAAUAUGUUUAAAUAAUGUCUAGCACAAUAAUAAAUUGUAAACAUUUUCGUACAAACGUCGUAAACUAAAAGGACGAGGAAAAUGAUUUUAAAUAAAUUAGAUACGUUAUGGUUAUAGAUAUUUAUAUAUUCGAUCUUUAAAACUAUAAAUAACGAAACGAAUAAAUAUAAUUUUAUAUUACAUUUAUAUUUGUGUUAAUUCAUUUAAUUUUCACUUUUGUUUAUUACUUUGAUAAUCAACUAAGUAAAAAAUUAUUUGAAAAAUAUAUAUAAUUUAUAGGAUUUUCUUUUGUUAUGCUGGCUAACGGGCUACCCGCAACCCGUUUGGGUUAGCCCUACGGGUACCGAGCUUUUAUGGGCCGGGCUAAAAAGCCCUAUUAACAUUCGGGCUCAAUAUUUUAGACACAAACCCUAUAUUUAUUCGAGCUAAACGGGCCGACCCAUACGGCCCGGCCUGUUUUAACAGCUCUAUCAAUAACACAUAAUUAAGGAGCUUCCUUCCAAUGUGAGUAUGUGAUCGAACUUGACAGCAGAAAUCAUUGGGAAUCAUAGGCCCUUACAUUUCCUUCCCUUGAUACAAAUUUCAAUUUUUAUUUUUUUUAAAUAGUUCAGUGAAUAGCAAUUACAUUAUAAAACUAAUAAGUGAAAAAUCUAAGAUUCGAACCAUACCCCUGCAUAUAUAAUACAACGUUUCUAUUAAUUGACCUAAGUUCAUUUGAGGAAUUGCGAUGAUUGAAUUGUAUAAUAUAUAAAAAGUGUAUUAUCUUCUUCCAAAAAAAUAAAAAUAUAAAAAGUGUAUUAUCAUAUAACACAAGUGUAGAUUUUAUCAUAAAAGAAUUGAGAAAUAUAAUUCAACCAUUUUUUAAACAAAAAAAAUUGUCUAAUAAAUGAAUCUUCCGAUCUUGAACAUAAGCAUCACAAUAAUUUUUAUUUGAUUGCCUCAAAUAUAGCAAAUAUCAACAACGUGCAUGUUAUUUAACGUUAUUAUCUUUGAAGUCCAUAUACUGACGAUACGGGAAAAUUCUAAAACAAAAUAGAAAUUAAUUUCAAAGAUUUAAAAUAAAUUAAAUCUUUGAAAUAAUAAAAAGUGUAUUAUCUUAUUCUAAAAAAAUAAAAAUAUAAAGUGUAUAUUAUCAAAUGAGAGAAAUGUUUAUUUUAACAUAAGUAAAUAGAGAAACGUAAUUCAAACAUCUUUAAAAUAAAUAUAUAAUUGUCUAAUAUAUAAUUUCCGAUCUUUGAAGAUAAAUAUCAAAUUUUUUUGUUUGAUUGUGUUAAAUAUAAGCAAAUUUUAACACCAUCUAUGUUAUUUAAGUUAUUAUUUAUGAAGACUUAAAGAUUAGUAGAGACUCUACAACAUUUAAACUGUGUCAAAACUCUGCUGAAAUUGUUGUGGAUCAAACAUUUACAAUUUCUUAACAACUUUCAUAUCUUAGAAAUAUUAGAGUCUUAAGAGUCUGAUUUGUGUUGUAUUGUGAACAUCACUGAUUCAAUACCAAGUGUUCAAACCAAACAUAUUUGUGUGUGAUUUGUUUGCUUGAGAAUAUGAAAUCUCUGCUUGUGUGCUUGAGUAUUUGAAUAAGUCUCUUGCUUGUGUUCUUGAACAUUUGUAAUCAGAUUGGAUUAUAGUUAAAUCUUCUUGGAAGUGCAAGGGGGACUGGACUACUUCCGGAUUGUGGAAGGAACCAUGAUAAUUGAUUUGUGCCUUUCUCUUCUCUCUAUCUUUACUUUAUCUCCUGCAUUAGCUAGACUCUGAACAUUGUUCCAAACUCUGAACUCUAUCAAACUCUGGACUUAGUUUGAAAAGUAAAAAAGCUAACACAAUUCAACCCCCCUUCUUGUGUUUUUCUCACCUUCAGUUGGUACCAGAGCGCCUAGUUCUAUUGUUCUAGCACUUAACAGUAUAACAGAAAAGAUCCGAGAAAAACAUGGCUUCUGGUGACGUUGGUAACUCUAGUGCUGUUGUAUCAUAUGAAUAUGGUACUGAUGACAAGUCAUCUUGUUCAAACAAGCCUCCAAUGUUCAGACUAUGUACUCAGGGUUUCAGACUCUAGUGUAUGGACUUCAGAUUCUGAAGAAAAGCUAUGUAGCUUCUGAUCACGUGAAGAAUAUUCUAAGGAGCUUGCCUGCUAAGUGGAGACAUAAGGUGAAAGCUACUGAAUAAGCUAAAUAUCUAAACACUCUAAGUCUUGAAGAUCUUAUAAGCUCUCUCAAAUGUCAUGAGAUAGGGCGCAAUGAAAAAGAAUAUGUUAGAAAGCUAAAAUCUAUUGCACUAAAGUCAAAAAGAAAGUCUUCAAAAGCUCUCAAAGCUAAUGAAUCUGAAGAUGAAUCUCCAGCUAAAGGUUCCAAAGAAGAUCCAGAAGUUGAAGAGAUGGUUAUAUAUGCUCUCCAAUAGACUUCAGUAUCUGGCUUGGAAGAACAAGAAGUUCUUGAGCAGAGGUAGUGGUUACAAAGGUUCAUGGAAAGAAGAUCAGAAGGGAUGCUUCAACUGCAAGAAAUCUGGUCACUUCAUUGCUGAUUGUCAUGAUUUGCAAAAAGAUAAUUCAAAGGAGAAAUCUAAGAAAGAAAACUUCAAAUCCAAUAAAUUCAGAAGGUAGAUCAAGCAGAGUCUGAUGGCUACUUGGGAAGAUCUAGACAAUGAAUCAGGGUCUGAGAAAGAUGAAGCUGAAAAUGAAGCUAAUGUGGCUAUGGGAUUAGUGGCUACAGUGGCUUCUGAUAUAGACUCUGGAACAAAUUCUGAAGAUAAAAAUGAGAUCUGGUUAAGAGUAAAGGAAAAACAGAGAUCAUGGUACCUGGACAGUGGUUGCUCACGACACAUGACUAAAGAAAAGUUUAUGUUUCCAACCCUAACAAUGAAAGAGGGAUGAACUGUGGGAUUUGGAGGAAACCUGACUGGCAAAAUCAUUGAUAUGGGAACUAAUGGUAACUAUUAAAUAUAUAUAAAAGAAAAGAAAAUAAUAAAUAGAAUUAAAAAUAAAAAAAUUAGAAAUAAAAAAAUAAAAAAAAAAUAAUAAAAAAUAAUGAAAAAUAAGAAAAAAUGAAAAAAAAAAAAAAAAAAAGAAAAAAAGAAAAAAUAAAAAAAAAAAAGAAAUAAAAAAAAUAAAAAAAUAAAAAAAAAAAAAAAAAAAAAUAAAAAAAAAGAUAGAAAAAAAUCAGAAAAAAAUAAAAAAUAAAAAAAGAAAAAAAUAAAAAAACAAACAAAAUAAAAAAUAAUAAAAAAAAAUAAUAAAAAAAAAAAAAUAAGAAAAAAAAAAGAAAAUAACAAAAACAAAAAUACACAUAAUGGAGAAUAAAAGAAAAAAAAAAAAAAAAAAAAAAAAAUAAAAAAAAAAAAAAAAAAAAAAAAAAAAAAAAAAAAAAAAAAAAAUAAAAAAAAUAAAUUUAAUUAAUAAAAUAAAUAAAUAAAAAAAAAAAAUAAAAAAAAAUAAAAAAAAAAAAAAAAAAAAAGAAAAAAAAAAAAAGAAAAAUAAAAUAAAAAUAAAAAAAAAAUAAAUAAUAAAAAAAGUAACUUCAAAAAAAAAAAAAAAAAAAAAAAAAAAAUAAAAAAUAAAAAAAUAAAAAAUAAAAAAAAUAAAAAAAAAGAAAAUAAAAAAAUAAAAUAAAAAAAAAAAAAAAAAAAAAAAAAAAAA
rnacentral:lncRNA from 1 species